rnacentral:lncRNA from 1 species
UGAGAAGGACUCCAACCUCUCUACUCCUAUAUAAGGAGACCAUGACCAAGGAGGGACAAGUUCUGUAGAAGCCACCACUGAAGGAAUAGAAACCCUAGCGUUUUAAUUAGCACAUCUAGCGUAGUUCAUCCACCCUAGAGCAAUGUUGUCUAGAUACCCGCGUUAUCAAUGAGAGCAGGAGUGUGGCUAUUGCUCAUGCGAGGGGUCCGAACCUAUGUAAACCUUGUGCCAUGUGCUCGUUUUAUGAUCUAAGUCGACAUCCCACUACCGAACAAAUCGUGUGGGACUAUCGUAUUACUAAGGAUACAUGAAAAAUAUCGUUGACAUGUAGGUCCGUCCAUGUUGUGCAUGUCCUAGUUUCACUUCCAUGAUGAAGUACUUGAAGAAGUUGACCUAUGAGGAAGAAUAUAAAGAGUGAACGAGACAUGUGAAAGAAAAUGCGAGAAGAAACAACAUGAGAGCUUUGAUGUUUUAUGAUUGAUGAUGUUCUUUGUUCACUUAUGCUUGAAGAAGAAAUGACAUCAGAGCUUGUAUGUUUUAAGUUCGUUGGUGUUCUGAGUUUGAUAACGUCUGGUGGUGCUCUCAUUUUUUGUAUGUUUAACGAUGUUAAUUUUAUGAUCCUCAAGUUUUACAAGAUGACGACAUUUUGAACUUCUGCAAGCAUGAACAUGCACAUUAACAAUUGCAUGCAAGUAAUUGUAUAACAUGAAAAUUUGCACGAAAUUGCAUGGUGACGACAUGUUGAUCCUUUCGCAUGGUUGUAACAUGAAAUUUUGCAUGCAUGAUUCGUUUUCAUUGCAUGAUGAACAAUGUUAGGCAUAAAAUUUUAAUAGUGCCAAAUUUUAGUAAUAAAUCAAAAUAAAGUUUACUAGGGUUAAAUGUUGAUUGAUCUGUUCUCUACCCAUGAUGCAGUGGAGAAGAAGGAGAACUCUAGGUCUGCCACAAUGCUCUCAUGUGAGUGGCGGCCUUUUCUUAGUGACGGUGAGUUUGAGGCUUUAACGUCUGUCCAUGCUAGCUGAAAUUGGUUUCUUGUUGAAUAUAGCUCAUCGCUCUGGUUUAGGAUGUGUUGGCAACUGAUGUAAUCAGCAUGCCUUUUUUGUGUUAUGUGGAAAUUUUAGAGGGAAAUGCAGCCUUUGGAUAGGUCUGCGUCUUUAGAUUUGUAACAAAAAUGUUUAUAACCAGAUGAUUCUCCGCGCGUUGCAAGGGGAACCUUUGCUUACAAACUUAUGUGAGAAAAUCUAUAUUUGUCUUACCAUGGAAAAAUUGACCGAAUUAGCAUCUAAUUUAUUUCAAGGAAGUUCUUAUCAAGAGCUAAAUUUUAAGUGUCUGCUAAAAAGUAGAAACCAAGUAAACAUGGUAGGGAUAGAUGUCGUAUUCAUCAAGACGAUAUGCAAUGUUAGGUGCCAGAUAAAAAUCGCUAAUUUUUAAAUAUUACACUUUUUUAGUAAAUUUGAGAAAUAUUACAUCGUUUAGGUUUAUUUUCUGAUCUUCACAGAUGAUUUGAGCAGAUAUGAGUAUAUCUACUUGAUGAAACACAAAUCUGAAACAUUUGAAAAGUUCGAAGAAUUUCAGAGUGAAGUGGAGAAUCAUCGUAACAAAAAUAAAAGUUUCUACGAUAUGAUCGCAGAAGGAAAAUAUUUGAGUUACAAGUUUGGCCUUCAGUUAAAACAUUGUGAAAUAGUUUCUCUACUCACGCCACCUGGAACACCACAGUGUAAUGGUGUGUCUGAACGUCGUAACCGUACUUUAUUAAAUAUGGUGCGAUCUAUGACGUCUCUUACUGAUUUACCGCUAUCGUUUUGGGGUUAUGCAUUAGAGACAGCUACAUUCGCGUUAAAUAGGGCACCAUCUAAAUCCGUUGAGACGACAUCGUAUGAACUAUGGUUUGGCAAGAAACCUAAGCUGUCGUUUCUUAAAGUUUGAGGUUGUAUUGCUUAUGUGAAAAAGUUUCAACCUGAUAAGCUCAAACCCAAAUCAGAGAAGUGCGUCUUCAUAGGAUACCCAAAAGAAAAUGUUGGGUACACCUUCUAUCACAGAUCCGAAGGCAAGAUAUUCAUUGCUGAGAAUGGAUCCUUUCUAGAGAAGGAGUUUCUCUUAAAAGAAGUGAGUGGGAGGAAAGUGGAACCUGAUGAGGUAACUGUACCUACUCCCUUAUUGGAAAGUAGUUCAUCACAGAAAUCUGUUCCUGUGACUACUACACCGAUUAGUGAGGAAGCUAAUGAUGAUGAUCAUGUAACUUCAGAUCAAGUUACUACCAAACCUCGUAGGUAAACCAGAGUGAGAUCCGCACCAGAGUGGUACGGUAAUCCUGUUCUAGAGGUCACGUUACUUGACCAUGACGAGGCUACAAACUAUGCGGAAGCGAUGAUGAGCCCAGAUUCCGCGAAAUGGCUUGAGGUCAUGAAAUCUGAGAUGAGGUCCACGUAUGAGAACAAAGUAUGGACUUUGAUUGACUUGCCCAAUGAUCGGCGAGCCAUUGAUAUUAAAUGGAUCUUCAAGAGGAAGACGGACGCUGAUAGUAGUGUUACUAUCUACAAAGCUAGAAUUGUCGCAAAAAGGUUUUCGACAAGUUCAAGGUGUUGACUACAAUGAGCAUCAAGAUCUAUAGAGAUAGACCAAGACACUUGAUAAGUUUUUCAAUGAGUACAUACCUUGACAAGAUUUUGAAGUAGUUCAAAAUGGAACGGUCAAAGAAAGAGUUCUUACCUGUGUUACAAGGUGUGAAGUUGAGUAAGACUCAAAACCCGACCACGGCAGAAGAUAGAGAGAAAAUGAAAGUCAUUCCCUAUGCCUCAGCCAUAGGUUCUAUAAAGUAUGCCAUGCUGUGUACCAGACCUAUUGUGUACCUUGCCCUGAGUUUGGCAAGGGAGUACAGUAGUGAUCUAGGAGUAGAUCACUAGACAACGGUCAAAAUUAUACUUAGUGGAAUAAGGAUAUGUUUCUCGAUUAUGGAGGUGACAAAAAGGUUCGUCGUAAAGGGUUACGUCGAUGCAAAUUUUGACAUUGAUCCAGAUGACUCUAAAUCUCAAUCUGGAUACAUAUUGAAAGUGGGAGCAAUUAGCUAGAGUAGCUCCGUGCAGAGCAUUGUUGACAUAGAAAUUUGCAAAAUACGUACGGAUCUGAAUAUGGCAGACCCGUUGACUAAACUUCUCUCACAAGCAAAACAUGAUCACACCUUAGUACUCUUUGGGUGUUAAUCACAUAGCGAUGUGAACUAGAUUAUUGACUCUAGUAAACCCUUUGGGUGUUGGUCACAUGUCGAUGUGAACUACGGGUGUUAAUCACAUGGUGAUGUGAAUUAUUGGUAUUAAAUCACAUGGUGAUGUGAACAAGAUUAUUGACUCUAGUGCAAGUGGGAGACUGAAGGAAAUAUGCCCUAGAGCCAAUGAUAAAGUUAUUAUUUAUUUCCUUAUAUCAUGAUAAAUGUUUAUUAUUCAUGCUAGAAUUAUAUUAACCGGAAACAUAAUACAUGUGUGAAUACAUAGACAAAUAGAGUGUCACUAGUAUGCCUCUACUUGACUAGCUCGUUGAUCAAAGAUGGUUAUGUUUCCUAACCAUAGACAUGAGUUGUCAUUUGAUUAACGAGAUCACAUCAUUAGGAGAAUGAUGUGAUUGACUUGACCCAUUCCGUUAGCAUAGCACUUGAUCGUUUAGUUUGUUGAUAUUGCUUUCUUCAUAACUUAUACAUGUUCCUAUGACUAUGAGAUUAUGCAACUCCCGUUUACCGGAGGAACACUUUGUGUGCUACCAAACGUCACAACAUAACUGGGUGAUUAUAAAGGUGCUCUACAGGUGUCUCCGAAGGUACUUGUUGGGUUGGCGUAUUUCGAGAUUAGGAUUUGUCACUCCGACUGUCGGAGAGGUAUCUCUGGGCCCUCUCAAUAAUGCACAUCACUUAAGCCUUGCAAGCAUUGCAACUAAUGAGUUAGUUGCGGGAUGAUGUAUUACGGAACGAGUAAAGAGACUUGCCGGCAACGAGAUUGAACUAGGUAUUGAGAUACCAACGAUCAAAUCUCGGGCAAGUAACAUACCAAUGACAAAGGGAACAACGUAUGUUGUUAUGCGGUCUGACCGAUAAAGAUCUUCGUAGAAUAUGUGGGAGACAAUAUGAGUAUCCAGGUUCCGCUAUUGGUUAUUGACCGGAGACGUGUCUCGGUCAUGUCUACAUUGUUCUCGAACCCGUAGGGUCCGCACGCUUAAGGUUUCGAUGACAGUUAUAUUAUGAGUUUAUGAGUUUUGAUGUACCGAAGGAGUUCGGAGUCCCAGAUGAGAUCGGGGACAUGACGAGGAGUCUCGAAAUGGUCGAGACGUAAAGAUCGAUAUAUUGGACGACUAUAUUCGGACAUCGGAAAGGUUCCGAAUGAUUCGGGUAUUUUUCGGAGUACCGGAGAGUUACGGGAAUUCGCCGGGGAGUAUAUGGGCCUUAUUGGGCCAUACGGGAAUAGAGGAGAGAGACCAAAAGGAAGGAGGCGCGCGCCUCCCUCUGGUCCGAAUUGGACAAGGGGUGCAGCCCACUUUUCUUUGUUCCUCUCCCCCUCUUUCCUUCUCUCCUACUCCAACAAGGAAAGGAGGAGUCCUACCCUGCGCCGUCCUCCUAGGCCGGCCAUCUCUCCCCUUGCUCCUUUAUAUACAGGGGCAGGGGGGCACCUCUAUACACACAAGUUGAUCAGCUGAUCUCUCCCAGCCGUGUGCGGUGCCCCCUCCACCAUAUUCCACCUCGAUCAUAUCGUAGUGGUGCUUAGGCGAAUCCCUGCGUCGGUAGCAACAUCAUCACCGUCACCACGCCGUCGUGCUGACGGAACUCUCCCGUGGAGCUCUGCUGGAUCGGAAUUCGCGGGACGUCAUCGAGCUGAACGUGUGCUAGAACUCGGAGGUGCCGUAGUUUCGGUGCUUGAUCGGUCGGGCCGUGAAGAUGUACGACUACAUCAACCGCGUUGUGCUAAUGCUUCCGCUUUCGGUCUACGAGGGUACAUGGACAACACUCUCCCCUCUCGUUGCUAUGCAUCACCAUGAUCUUGCGUGUGCGUAAGAAUUUUUUUGAAAUUACUACGUUCCCCAACAAACACAUCACAUAAAAUUUAGCAUGAACACGAGAUAUUUUCUUUUUCACAUAUCAAUGUUAUCUUGCCACACUUAUUAUCUAUUGGAGAGCUACUAUUGCUGAACCAAUGAACCCCAGUCCAAUUCACACUUUAAAGAACUUUUAUAUGUACUUUUAUUUCUAGUUAUUAUUUACUGGCCAUCCAUCCAUGCACCUACAUGAGCUAGCCAUUUAAAUUACGUACAUAAUAAUUAAAAUGUCAAAAAAUAUAUUCAAUGCAUCAAUGAUAGAAGAGCCAUUUAGCACAAAAAAACUAUCAUAUGUUGGAACGGCAGCCGGCAUAGGAAGACAGGGAAGACAGGGAAAGUUGCCCCGUCUUCGGUAACGGUGAUUGCAUGAGCCCUUGAUCUUGAAUUAUAUAUUGAUUCUUGAGUGUGAGUUGUUCCAACUUUGUUCCCUAGGAGCAACUCCAAUACGCGGACCCAUUUCGUCCGCGCGCGUCCGCUUGGGUCGACGCAGACAAAAAAGCUGGUACAACGCGCCGAUCCAAACGGACGCGCGUCCGCUUUUCGUCCACCUAUCGACCCAUUCCCGCUCUAUUUUUUAGCCUCAUUUGCGUCGGCGCGGACACGAGACAGACGCGGGCUUCGCCUGCCUAAUUUUCCCUGGCCCGCCAGUCGGUGGCACAUUGGCCAUCCUCUCCCACGGCAAACCCUCGCCCGCCUCCUUUGUCGCCGACGUCGCCGCCCAUUUUUCCGGUACCUCUGCCGCAACAUCCACCCGCGACGCCGCCACCUCCCACGUCGCCGCCACCGCUGUCUUGCCACCGAUCCGACAGCUUCCACCCCCACUCCACCGACACAACCGCAACCAAGAAGCCGCCUCGCCGCACCGGUCAGCUCCUUCGUCCUGACACCGGCACGCCUGGCGGACGCCGCCAAGGCAGGUUGUUGGUCCGAGGACGGCGCGACUCCCUUCGCCAGCCGGCUCCAUCAUCGACGCUCGCAAGUUGUUCGACAGUUUGCCAAGGUACAAAAUGGACUCCGUCGACGAAUUCCUUUUCCAUAAUUUCCUUUGCAACUCCGACAAUUCCUCGUCCGAUGAUGAGGAGGAGAUAUUGGCUACCGUGUUGGUCUAUCACCACCUCAAUAGCCAGCGGCCGUUGUUCCGUGGCUCCAUUCUCGUGCACCUUCUGGCAUUGAAUCACAACCGAGAGAGCGGGCAUUUCCUUCUUUGAAAGGACUAAUUUGACACAACGAACCUGCUGUUCAAACAUCAAAAAUUCUGCCGCCUUUUCCGUAUGAGUAGACAUCUUUUCAACCGUAUUAGAGAGGGGGUGGUCAGCUACGAUGACUAUUUCGAGUGCAAAGAGGAUGCCCUUGUAAUGAUUGGCUUCUCCUCUUACCAAAAAUGCACUGCAGCCAUCCGAAUGCUUGCAUACGGAGUGCCCGGUGAUCUUGUUGACGAGUACGUCUGUAUGAGCGAGUCUGCAUCCCUAGACUCAUUGUACAAGUUCUUCAGAGUUGUUAUUGCUGUGUUUGGCCCUGAGUACUUGAGAGAGUCGACUCCUGAAGAUACAACCCCUUGUUGGCGAUGAAUGCCAGUAGGAGCUUCCCGGGGAUGCUUGGCAGGAUAGACAUCAUGCACUGUGAGUGGAAGAACUUCCCUUAUGCUUAGCAAGGAUAGUAUAAGGGCCAUGUCAGGGCUUGCACUAUCAUACUUGAGGCCGUGGCAUCUCAAGAUCUCUGGAUCUGGCACUCUUUCUUUGGCAUGGUCGGAUCACACAAUGAUAUCAACGUGCUUCAGCGCUCGCCGAUGUUUGCUAGGCUUGCUGAAGGCAACAACCCACCGGUUAAUUUUACCAUCAACGGCCACAACUACGACAAAGGAUACUACUCGGGUGACGGUAUAUAUCCUCAAUGGACCACUAUUGUGAAGACAAUCCCCAACCCUGUCGCAUAGAAGAGGAAAAAAUUUGGCCAAGAGGAAGAGAGUGCAAGGAAGGACAUCGAGCGUGCCUUUGGUGCUUUACAAUCUCGAUAGGGCAUCGUUCGUAUCCUGCUAAGACUUGGAGCACGAAGAAACUAUGGGAGGUGAUGACUGCUUGUGUGAUCAUGCACAAUAUGAUCAUAGAAGAUGAGCGCCCAGAAUGUCUCUACGAUCAAGGGUUUCAGUUUCAGGGUGAGAAUGUUGUGCCUGAGCAUGGAGACGCGGCAACGUUUGAACAGUUCACCCAAUUUCAUCAUGACAUGGGUGAUUGAGAAACUCACAUGCAAUUGCAAAAUGAUUUGGUUGAGCAUAUGUGGGCUCAUGUUGGCAACCAAUAGAUGUAUCUUUUUUAUUCGGCUUGCAAAACUAUGUAAGACUAUUUUACUUUUAUUCGGCUUGUAAACCAAUGCUAUUUAUUUGGUUGAAACUAUGCUAUUUACUAUAUGUUUGCUUGUGAAAUAAUGCAAAUUUAUUGAAAAGGGCGGCCAUCCGGCCACGUCGUAUAUGGGUCGGCGCGUUGGGCGCACUGCCGACCCAAAUCUCAAACUGGGUGGACGCCGAGCGGGCGGCCGACCCAAACGGAAAAAAGUGGACAAAAGCGUCGUCUGUUUGGGUCGGCGCGUUGGAGUUGCUCUAAUGCCCAUACUGUCUUUCUAAAAUAUUGUACUGUAGCUAAUUUUAUUUUAUUUUAUCCAUUAGGCGUGUAGUAUUGCAAGAUCCGAGACAUGUCUUGGUUAAGAAAACAAGUGUUUGAUUGAUGAAACAAAAACUUGAGGUUUUGACUCAGUCUCAGUCUCAUAUACAAGUUUUCAGGUUGCCCUUAAAAAGGAUGGAGAAUCUGGCAUUGAUGCCAACGAACUGUAUGUGGAAUUGAUGUUUCUUCAAACUUCCGUUCCAAACGAAAAUAUUGGGCCCGUUGAAUUUGUAAAGUUCUUAAAGCAGCAUGAUUAUUUCCGAUGCAAGUAUUGCAUACAGAGUUCCGUUGACCAUCCCUAUAACUGUUGCAUCAACAGAACAAAGCUUUUCAAAAUCGAAGCUAUUGAGGUCUUAUAUGUGCACUACCAUGACACAACAAAGACUUACUGAUUUGGCCAAAAUAACACUUGAGAGUGAAGUACCGGAGAAGAUUGAUUAUGAGGAUAUUAUUGAAAAAUUUAUAAAGAACCAUAAAAGAAUGAUGUUAUUUAAGUGAAGACUAUACAACCAAGAAUGGGUAUGAUUCUAGAUAUUUCACAUUGCCAUGUAAGAUAUGAUUAUCUUUAUAUUAUUAUAUAUUAUAUGUAUGUGGUUUAUCUAGUGAGGUAGGGCCCAUUUUAGGAUUUGACGCAGGGCCUCGGAUUUUAUCGGCCCAGCCCUAUAUGUGAGGCUAUGACCAACACCUGAUCUCAUGUGCACUAUGGCCGGAGAUGCCUUCUCACCAUCCUCACGCGUGGCACGUCAAUAGGAGACCACACCACACUUAGCGACAACGAUCUUAUUCUAGAGAAGGUUUGUCUUGAUUUCUCUUUUCUUUUCAAGGUUGAAUUUUAUUUUUCUUACCAUCCUCACUGACAUCAAUUUCUUUAACAGGUCGCCGAUCAAAUCGACUUUGUGCGGAUUCUCUUGGCAAUGGCUUCUAAGAAUAAGAGGUAGUCAUAGUAAUGUCUCCGACUGAAUGUCAUGGAAAAUCCAUACUUCUGUAUCCCUUUGUUGUGUAUACCGUAGUUAGGGCAGUAUAUUCAUGUGUAAACAUGGGCCUGGGGACCAUACUUGGGUGAUCGCAUUAGCAAGACAUGUCACCUCACAUAUCCAAAGAUGAACAUGUAGUGAACAUGGAAAGACUACCGACUUUGAGAAGAUCAUGAGAGACGCAUCUGAGAAGGACUCCAACCUCUCUACUCCUAUAUAAGGAGACCAUGGCCAAGGAGGGACAAGUUCUGUAGAAGCCACCACUGAAGGAAUAGAAACCCUAGCGUUUUAAUUAGCACAUCUAGCGUAGUUCAUCCACCCUAUAGCAAUGUUGUCUAGAUACCCGCGUUAUCAAUGAGAGCAGGAGAUUGGCUAUUGCUCAUGCGAGGGGUCCGAACCUAUGUAAACCUUGUGCCACGUGUUCAUUUUAUGAUCUAAGUGGACAUCCCACUACCGAACAAAUCGUGCGGGACUAUCGUAUUACUGAGGAUACACGAAAAAAAUCGUUGACAUGUAGAUCCGUCCAUGUUGUUCAUGCCCUAGUUUCUCUUCCAUGAUGAAGUACUUGAAGAAGUUAACCUAUGAGGAAGAAUAUAAAGAGUGAACGAGACAUGUGAAAGAAAAUGCGAGAAGAAACAACAUGAGAGCUUUGAUGUUUUAUGAUUGAUGAUGUUCUUUUUUCACUUAUGCUUGAAGAAGAAAUGACAUCAGAGCUUGUAUGUUUUAAGUUCGAUGGUGUUCUGAGUUUGAUAACGUCUGGUGGUGCUCUCAUUUUUUGUAUGUCUAACGACGUUAUUUUUAUGAUCCUCAAAUUUUACAAGAUGACGACAUUUUGAACUUUUGCAAGCAUGAACAUGCACAUUAACAAUUGCAUGCAAGUAACUGCAUAACAUGAAAAUUUGCACGAAAUUGCAUGGUGACGGCAUGUUGAUCCUUUCGCAUGGUUGUAACAUGAAAUUUUGCAUGCAUGAUUCGUUUUCAUUGCAUGAUGAACAAUGUUAGUCAUAAAAUUUGAAGUGCCAGAUUUUAGUAAUAAAUCAAAAUAAAGUUUACUUUAACCAAAAUAUAGUUGCAUUAGACAUUAGAAGAUAUAAGGCAGGCCCGCGACGGCUUCUCCACUGGCGCCAGCGGUCCAGCCGCGCCCUGCUCGACCUCCACGUGCCAGGCCCAUGCCGGCGGCGCCGCGUCCAAAAGCGACCCCUUCUCUCCGCCGCCGCCGCCGGCGGCAGACCCACCAUGCCCACGAUUCAGGUUGCCAGCUUGCUCUCGCGGCCUCCCAGCUUCCUCACGACAGUCUACGUCUACAGGAUCUAGGUUUAGAUCAAAGAACGCCAUGGACUUUCAGGACGAGGAAGAAGAGGAAUAUAAAGCAUCUGCCCUCCGUCUUCUUAUAAGGAGGAUUUGGAGUUCAAAUCUUCGUGCCAUAUUUUCCCCCUAUGCAGCGCAGGGAUUGGAUCGACAUGUGGCGCCGUAAAGCGACGCGAGGGAGGGAGCGAGGCCACCGGUUGGGUCGCUAGUGAGGCGGAAGAGAAGACGAUGGGGUUGCCUGCAAUAACUGUGUUUUGUUGGCAGGAGCAUGGCCGAGGCCGAUCGAAGCCCGUCGGGCGGUUGCAUUGCAAAAAAGAGACAGAAAUCUCGUGUUUGGUACAUGUUUCCGGUGGACGGUGGUGCAUGCUGCUGAUCGGUGGAGUACCAAAGCUUUUUCUUGUCCGGGAGUAGUACUUCCUCCGUCCGUGAAUAAGUGUAUAUCUACCUUUUGUUCUAAGUCAAUAUUUUAAAACUUUAACCAACUUUAGAGAAAAAAGUAUUAUCAUUUUAUGGCACUAAAUUAGUAUCGCUAUAUUCGUUUUGAAAUGUAUUUUCAUAAUAUACAAAUUUGAUGUCAUAUAUACUACUACUCUUUUCUAAAACUUGGUCAAAAUUAUAAGACUGUGACUUAAGACAAAUGAUAAAAGUACACUUAUUCACGGACGAAAGGAGUAGGCAUUAAUUUUCUACCUCCCUUGCCCUUGAUCGACCAACCACACAACUCAGCAUGUAAUUGCAAUUAAUGCGUUAAAUGAGGGACGUUAGGAUUGGCCGUGCAUGCGCCCAUCUUUCCACAGGAAAUAGGGACCGGCCUGGAUCAAUGCGAAAUAAAUCGGGAAACCAAACGUCAGAGCGACGCAUCGGACCCGGACGUCACCUUGGAAAAAUGGGAAGCUAGGACGCCUCCUCGUUGGAGGCGCUGCUGGAAUUUCAUCCUACCCGAGUGUUUGCCUCUUCGCCGAGUGCUAAAUCACGGGGACUACUCAAGAAACAAAUAUAAGCAGAGAGCAUCGCACGGCAACGAGAUGUUGUUGCCGAGAACAAGACACAGCGAAGAAGGCACACUCAGCAUUCGGCAAUGACGCCGAGAGCACCACACAGCAAAGAGAUGCCAUGUGGCAUGUCCAUUUGCAUCUAACGGCUAUGUGACUUAUAGUUGUCUUUACCAAGAUCUAAACAGGGGCGCUUGGCACACGAGUGAAACAUUUUCACCUCAUAAGUGGACCCAUUAGACCCACUUGUCACCGAAACAUUUCAAAUUUCUUUUGCAAGAACAUCUGAAACAUUUUGACCUGACAGGUAGGAACUAUGCAUGCUCUUCGAAAAAAAUGACACUACUGAAGUGCAUCCUUUUGCCGAGAGGCACCUGCACUCAGAAAAGAUUGGCACUACUAGAGUGCUACUUUUACCGAGAGGUGCCAAGGCCAAGCUGAGUCGCCUCCCGGCCAGCAUCCGCUCCACCCCGUUCGUCACAUCAGAAUAGUGGUGAGCCCACGAAUCUGGCGUCCCCGGAGUGGAAGAAAUGAGGAGGAGGCCCCGUCGGAUGGGUGAGAAGAUGGCGGCCAGGGAGAGGAGUGGCGGCGGCACCCUCUGCCUACCACCGAGCUCGGGGAGAAAGAUGGAGGCCGCGGUGGCAGGGAGUAUGCGAGCGAAGGUGGUGACUGGACACCCGGAGCUAGACGAGGUGGUCUAUGCCAAUGAAGAGGGCGUCCAUCUGGUUUGUUUUCCUGUAGAUUUCCUCUCUUGCUUGAUUUGAUUUUGUGGUCAAAACGAUGGCAGAUUUCCUCAUCGACUGGUCUGACUUGGGGCUGAUUUUUCUCUUGCGAUUCCUGUUCAUGGCCCUGCUGUGGUUGCACCGUGGUCCGUGGGGGAAUAGAAACGAAUAUCUCUUCUACAACUGGCGUCAGGAUAGACCAACCGGGGAGAGAUAGGAUCAUUGAGUCUUUUUACCCUCAUUCUGCCUCCCAGGUUACUAGGGUUAAAUGUUGAUUGAUCUGUUCUCUACCCAUGAUGCAGUGGAGAAGAAGGAGAACUCUAGGUCUGCCACAAUGCUCUCAUGUGAGUGGCGACCUUUUCUUAGUGACGGCGAGUUUCAGGCUUUAACGUCUGUCCAUGCUAGCUGAAAUUGGUUUCUUGUUGAAUAUUGCUCAUCGCUCUGGUUUAGGAUGUGUUGGUAAAUGAUGUAAGCAGCAUGCCUUUUUUGUGUUAUGUGGAAAUUUUAGAGGGAAAUGUAGCCUUUGGAUAGGUCCGCGUCUUUAGAUUUGUAACAAAAAUGUUUAUAACCAGAUGAUUCCCCGCGUGUUGCAGGGGGAACCUUUGCUUAACUUAUGUGAGAAAAUCUAUAUUUGUCUUACCAUGGAAAAAUUGACCGAAUUAGCAUCUAAUUUAUUUCAAGGAAGUUCUUAUCGAGAGCUAAAUUUUAAGUGCCUGCCAAAAAGUAGAAACCAAGUAAACACGGUAGGGAUAGAUGUCGUAUUCAUCAAGACAAUAUGCAAUGUUAUGUGCCAGAUAAAAAUCGCUAAUUUUUUAAAUAUUACACUUUUUUAGUAAAUUUAAGAAAUAUUACAUCGUUUAGGUUUAUUUCAAAAAUAAUACGGCGUUGGCCUUCUAUCGGCCACCGGUAAGCCGAGUAGUCCCAGCCGGCCACCCGAGUCACGGCAUGCAGUCGGCCUCCGCGAAGCCGAUAAAUGCAUGAGCUGAUUUGCUAGCUAGCUUUCUGUGCUUUUGUGCUAGUUUUCUGUGCGUGUGUGCUAGCAAUACGUUUUGCCGUAUAUGCUCCACCGGCCGGAAAAUACUCGGCUGUAGCUUGUACGUGAAAAAAAGCUUAUACGUGCGUAGUCGUCGGAAAGUACUCGACGGCUGCGGCGUCAAGGUCGGGAAUGUGCCAAUUGUUGGCGCAGGUCCCUCCGAUGUUGAGUACUUUUCGACGACGACGACAGACGAUGACGACGACUGCAACGAACAAAGCGACGCUGACUCGUUAUCGACCACCCGCAAGUGUAAAAGCUAGCCGUCGAGCUUGCAAUCGAUCUUUCCCUGAACGUGAAGUAAUACUUACUAGUACUUCUGUCCGGAACAAUCUUCACAAGACCCGUACGUAAACAACCUCUGGUCGAUCGUUGCUUUCCGGCCGGUGGAGCGUACGUAAACAAUCUUCGCGAGACACGUGCACGUAUACCACGAGCACCCUAGCAGGUUGGUGGAUCGAUUGGGCAGAGGCUAGCUAGCUGGCCUUUCAAACGGGAUUAGCACAACUCAGGCUAUGUACGUUGCAUGGGCCAUGCACCUAUCGGCUUCCCGUAAGCCGAUUAGUCCCAAUUGGCUUUCCUAGGUUAAUUAGUCUGGAACCUAAUCGGCUACCUCAUGGCCGACUGGCUCCAGUUGCUUACGGGAAGCCGGAAGCCGACGCCGUAUUAUUUAUGUAAUUUCUUAAAAUCAUGUAUUAUUUUUAAAAUUUUAUUAUAAAAUGUAUUAUUUAAAAAAAUUAGCAUAAAAAUCGACGGAUAGCAAAAAAAAUGUACAUUAUUUCGAUGUGAAGAGGCUUUGUCAUUCAUCUUCAAUUUUUUGCUUGGAUAAUAGAAUGGACGACACGCAUUCAUCCUCGACAGAAUAUGAUUUUAGUUAACCAAUUUAUACUUCGAGAGUUCACAUCAUAGAAAUGAAGAACAAUAUUAAUGAGAGUUGUGCAAUGCAUGCAGAUAGAUUUAAUAUCAAAUCUGGAUUUCAACUGUUCCACCGUUGCUUGUUUUCUUAGUCAGAAUCCACUAUUGCUUCUCAUGCGUAGGUCUCAGUUAAUGUCGAAAAUCCUUAUCACAUGGUGAUCAUCAUAAGUCCCUGAACACUAGACCGCUGCUACCAACGCAUAAGGCUGGUCGUAGUGGUAGUAUCAUAUAUACCAACUAGGCAAUUUUGAUGAGAUGACGUAAAAUUAAAUGAAGAAAGAGAGGGAUGAGUAUCAUAUUAUGAUACCGUAUCAUAAUAAAUACCAUGAUACUAUGUGUCAUGCAUGACAAUAAAUGAGACUAUCUAUGAUACUACUCUAUGAUACUAUGCACUACGGAUGCAGUAUCAUAUGCAUGAUACUAGUAUAUGAUACUUUCCAUUAAACCAGCCUAAGGAAUGCUCUAGAACUUUAUUGUGUAGCAGCAUAGCAAAGUAUAAUCUACAUCAAACAAAAAGAGUAGAGGUUUUCCUGUUUAUUUUUAUUUUUCCUUUUUCUGUUUCCAUUUUCUUGUUUUGUUUAUUUUUCCUUUUUUUUUGCCUUUUGCCUUUUGUUUUCAAGUUUAUUUUUCUUCUUCAGUAGUUUUUCAGAAUUUUUAGCAAAUCCAUAUUUUCCAAAAAAAUUGUUAAUGAAAUUCACAAAAAUGAUCAUUUUUCCAAAAAUGUUCGUGCUUUCAAAAUUUUGUUCGUGUUUUAGAAUUUUGUCCGGGAGUUUUAGAAAAUUUCCUUGUUUUCAAGAAAUGUUCGCCUUUUCAAAAUUUGUUUGAGUUUUUAAAUUUUUGUUCGGGAGCUUCAGAAAAUGUUCCUGUUUUCAAAUUUUCUUCUCAUUUUUAUAUUUUCUUCAGGAGUUACAAAUAAAUGUUCGUGUUUUCAAAAAUUGUUCACAUUUCUUUAAUUUUGUUUGGGAGUUUAAAAUUUUCCCCUUUUUUCAAAAGAUGCCCGUCUUUUCUUUUUUUUCCUUUUUUAUUUUUGUUCGGGAGUUUCAGAAAAUUUGUUUGCAUUUUAAAAUUUUGUUCGGGAGUUUAAAGAAAUGUUCACGUUUUCACAUAAAUGUUCGUUUUUUCAAAAAUUGCUCCCUAUUUUGAAUUUUGUUUGGGAAUUUAGAAAAACAUUUUCAAAGAAAAAUCAAAAUUCCAAAAAAUGUUCCCGAUUUCAAAAACAAAAAUUCUAGACCUUAUAAUGUUCUUGCUUUUCAAUUUUUUCAGGGUUUCAAAAAAUAUUCCUGUUUUCAGACUUUGUUCAAAGUUUUCAAAACAUGUUCCUGUUUCUCAAAAAUUGACCGAUGAUUUGAAAAUGAUAAUGUUUUAAAAAAAUCAAAAAACAUUUUGUGUUUUAGAAAACAUAAAUUUGUCACCAUCAAACAAGUUUUGGGAUGGAAAACCCUGUUAUUUCUUUCCGUAGGGACCUUUUAGGACCUCGCCUGGCAGCUUGGAAUGAGCUACUCAUACGUCUAGGAUAUUCAGCUGUCAGAUGAACCGGACAUCUUUCGACGGAAUUUGCAUCAUAAUGGCAAAUUUAGAGUCAAAUUCAUGUAUGAUGCAAUGGUUCAUUGUGAUGUUCCGGUUGAUAACAGGAAAUUGUGGAAGCUUAAAAUUCCUCUAAGAGUGAAGAUAUUCCUCUGGUUCCUAAACAAAGGGGUCAUCUUAACUAGAGAUAAUCUGGCACGACGCAACUGGCAAGGCACCAAGGCGUGUGUCUUUUGCCAACAUGACGAGUCUAUUAAGAACUUAUUUUCUGAGUGUAAGUUCGCUCGGUCUGUUUGGACCAUAGUUCAAGUANNNNNNNNNNNNNNNNNNNNNNNNNNNNNNNNNNNNNNNNNNNNNNNNNNNNNNNNNNNNNNNNNNNNNNNNNNNNNNNNNNNNNNNNNNNNNNNNNNNNNNNNNNNNNNNNNNNNNNNNNNNNNNNNNNNNNNNNNNNNNNNNNNNNNNNNNNNNNNNNNNNNNNNNNNNNNNNNNNNNNNNNNNNNNNNNNNNNNNNNNNNNNNNNNNNNNNNNNNNNNNNNNNNNNNNNNNNNNNNNNNNNNNNNNNNNNNNNNNNNNNNNNNNNNNNNNNNNNNNNNNNNNNNNNNNNNNNNNNNNNNNNNNNNNNNNNNNNNNNNNNNNNNNNNNNNNNNNNNNNNNNNNNNNNNNNNNNNNNNNNNNNNNNNNNNNNNNNNNNNNNNNNNNNNNNAAACAAUUUUCUGCACAUAUUCUUGUGAGGGCGGCUGCCUUAUGCUGGGCUUUGUGGCUUACCAGGAAUGAUGUGGUUUUUAAUAAAAAAAUAUGUUUCAUCUCCUAUGCAGGUUAUUCAUGUAUGUACGUCAUGGCUCCGUACUUGGUCUAUCCUGCAGAGGCUGGAGGACAGGGACCUAUUUAUGAUGGCGUCUACGUGGCUGGAGCGUACGGCCAGAGAGGUUUUCUCCCUCAGGGAUGGCGGUGUGAUCUCCGGAUAGGAUGUGCCACAUCAUAGGCUGGACUGAUAUAUUUUUUUUAAGCUGUAAAACAAUUUUAUUUUUGAGUCGGUUGGACUUAUUGGCCAUGUGCAUCAAGUUAUGUAGAGGCCGGGCAUUCUUUAGAUGUGAUUGUAUCACCUUGAUAUAUCAAUUCAAUGAAAUGUCCUUUAUCGAACAAGAAGAAGCAAGAUUACGAAGAUAAUGGAAGAAGCUGCUGCUUACUGCCUUGUUGGCUGCUAAUUGCAACUUUGAGCGGGUCGCGUUGUUAUGGAGAUUAUGUCUCCGGUGAUGACGUACGAUAAAUAUGUUGAUUUGUUUCUAUUGUGGUAUUGGAUGAUCAUACAUGACAAGACCUCUGGGUUGCUAGCUGUUCACUGCUAUCACUUUCCAUCAUGCAAUCAUCGAUGACCACUAAGUAUCCUUGACUCCCAGUUUUAGUUUCGGGCUCUCAGUUAGUUUGCUUGCUACUUUCUAGUGAUUUUAGUAAUUGCACCACUAGUUUGAAUUCUCCGUGUUGAUUUCGGAAGUGUUGAUCUGUCUAGCAGGUUGAAAAUGGUUAGGUCCUCAUGAGACCUGACCUGAGAUGUGUUCAAGGUGACAAGUACUUCAUGGAUGGAACCGGAGGCGACAAGUAUUUGGUGGCCGGGAACGUAUCCAGUGCACCGGUGUUAGUGGUGCUACCGGUGCACCAGAUCUCCUAGCACAUUUUAGAAUCCUCCAAGAAAUAUGGAACAAACUAAACACAUACACACGACAUCAAUGUUUGUUGUCGCAAAAAUUCAAAUCCAAAUUAAAAGAUUGCUCGACAUACAAUCAUGGAAAAUUUGACAUCAAUAUGAUAAUGGACCAAAUCUAAAGACCAACUUAUAUUGCUUACUAUUUAGUGUUAAAUUUGUCUUUUUGUAUCUCGAGCAAUGUUUCAAAUUUUCAUUUGAAAUUUUGCGGCAACAAACACUGAUGUUCCAUGAAUGUAUUAAUUUUUUUAACAGUUUUUGAACCAUUUUAAAAUGUGCUAUGGAGGUCUGGUGCACCGGUAGCACCACAAGCAUCCGUGCACUAGAUAUUUUUCCCCUUGAUGGUCAAGCUCCCGUACAAGCAUGUUGCGACUGAUCAUGGUGGAUCAGGAGGACUCCGGCGACGUGCGCUGCAGGUAGAGGAUGUGUUUCACAAGGCAGUUGUUGAGGUGAACGGGGAAGGCACUGAGGCGGCCCACCUACUCCACCUGGACCUAUUUGUGUACUAGCUAUCUACCUCCUUCGCAUGUGGAUUUCAUUGCGGACCACCUGUUUAUUGUUCUUCAUUGUGGAGGGGUGUCUUGUGAAGUGGUCUUCGCCGGCCAUGGUGGAACUGGGUGAAAAACAUGCCACAAUGACCAGGGCCAACCCCGGCAUUAUGUAGGUCGUAGUUAAUUAUAACAGAGAGAAAGAAAUAUUCCACUGGUUUAUGCUAUAUAUAUUUCAUAAAAAAGCAUUAUAAAUACAUAAAUAUAAAAAACAUGCAAGAGGGAGGGGGGCAUUGGCCCUCUAAUGGGCGCUAAGCCACCACACCUUUUGUAUGAGUAUCUCUCGUCACACCUAAACCUCUCACAACCUCUCUGUACUAUCUUCACAACAUAUCAUUGCCCAAUUUGUGAAAUCAAUUGUUCUGACAAACACAUGAGCCAUCAUCCAAGAGCACGAAGCAACCACAUGACAGAGUUGGUAAUUUAUUUCAUCAUCCUCCACGAGCAGGAAGCACCACGCGGAACAGUACUGCUUAUUCAUCACUACCUUGAGAUACCAUUUGCGUUGCUCCUCCGCCGAGCAUAACCAGAAAGUGUGGCAGCGGUGGAGCAUGUGAUCCAUUCAUUCAGCAUGUACUGCUAAUUGACAUUAUUAUGAUGGAACUAGGUGAAAAACAUGCCACAAUGACCAGAGCCAACCCCGGCACUAUGGAGGCUGUAGUUAUAACAGAGAGAAAUAAAUACUUCACUCGUAUAUGCUAUAUUUCAUAAAAAGCCCCCUUGGGCUGGUGACAACAACUUCUCAUCAAUAUUGUAGGACAUGAAAAGAUUCCUAAAUUAAGUUGAUCCAUACGUAAUCUCGCCCCUUUGUUGUUCAAUACAACGACCACAUAAGUUGGCUACCAUGAUUGUGGUUCAUGUGAUGUACUCUUUGGGGGUGAUGUUGAUCAUGCGUGAAUUAUUUUUUUAUGUUCAUAUGUGUUAAUUGUCUCUAAGAAUAAAGGGAUAAUAAACUGAUGAUAAAGGGGUAAUAAUAAAGGGAUAAUAAACUUGUUUGCCUCCGUGAUGAGAGGGAGGCUUUAUGGGCAUAUUAUUGAAUUGUAUGUCACCUUGCCAAAGGGGAGGCUCUGUUUUGUUACUUAAAAGUUUGGGUGAUGUAGAGGGAUCUCGAUGAAAGAGUGAAAUAUUAGCCAUAGAUGCAGGGUGGGUCUCGGUCUAUGGAUUUAUGGACGUAUUUCAUAUAUAGCAUCAACACAUCACAACAAUCUAGCAUGAGCGCCGGAAAUUUUGUUUUUCACAUGUCAAUGUUAUCUUGCCACACUUAUUAUCUACUACUAAAUGUUGUUGGGGAACGUAGUAAUUUCAAAAAAAUUCCUACGAACACGCAAGAUCAUGGUGAUGCAUUGCAACGAGAUGGGAGAGUGUUGUCUACGUACCCUCGUAGACCGUUCGCGGAAGCGUUAUACCAAGGCGGUUGAUGUAGUCGUACGUCUUCACGAUCCGACCGAUCCAAGUACCGAAAGCACGACACCUCCGAGUUCUACACACGUUCGGCUCGGUGACGUCCUCGCCUUCUCGAUCCAGCAAGAGGGGCGAAGUAGUAGAUGAGUUCCGGCAGCACGACGGCGUGGUGACGGUGUUGGUGAAGAACAAUCUUCGCAGGGCUUCGCCUAAGCACUACGCUAACUAUGACGGAGGAUAAAUUAGAGGGGACGGGGUUGCCGGCACACAGCUUGAUGUUUCUUGAUGUGUCUUUGGUGCUAGCCCUGCCCCUCUAUUUAUAUGUUGAGCCCUGGGGUCGAAACCUGGAGCAAAAGCCUCCUCAAAGUCGGUUUUGCCCAAAAGUCAAGAGUCCCACUCGGACUCCAGGACCAAACGCCACAAUCCUUGGCGUCUGGUCCAGACGCCAUGGGCCUCGGCGUCUGGCCCAGGGCCAGACGCCAGGGUCUCCGGCGUUUGGCCCCCUGGCCUCCGCAAAACUCCUUUUGCACCGACUUAUAGCCCCGUGGGCCUGACCCCUUGGCCUAACCAUAUCAUCCAAUAUAUCAAUCUUUACCUCCGGACCAUUCCGGAGGUCCUCGUCAUGUCUGUGAUCUCAUCCGAGACUCCGAACAACAUUCGGUCACCAACAUACAUAACUCAUAUAAUACUAUAUCGUCAACGAAUGUUAAGCGUGCAGACCCUACGGGUUCGAGAACUAUGUAGACAUGACCGAGACACUUCUCUGGUCAAUAACCAAUAGCGGAACCUGGAUGCCCAUAUUGGCUCCUACAUAUUCUACGAAGAUCUUUAUCGGUCAGAUCGCAUAACAACAUACGUUGUUCCCUUUGUCAUCGGUAUGUUACUUGCCCGAGAUUCGAUCGUCGGUAUCUCAAUACCUAGUUCAAUCUCGUUACUGACAAGUCUCUUUACUCGUUCCGUAAUACAUCAUCCCGCAACUAACUCAUUAGUUGCAAUGCUUGCAAGGUUUAUAGUGAUGUGCAUUACCGAGUGGGCCCAGAGGUACCUCUCCGACAAUCGGAGUGACAAAUCCUAAUCUCGAAAUACGCCAACCCAACAAGUACCUUCGGAGACACCUGUAGAGCACCUUUAUAAUCACCCAGUUACGUCAUGCCGUUUGGUGGCACACAAAGUGUUCCUCUGGUAAACGGGAGUUGCAUAAUCUCAUAGUCAUAGGAACGUGUAUAAGUCAUGAAGAAAGCAAUAGCAACAAACUAAACGAUCAAGUGCUAAGCUAACGGAAUGGGUCAAGUCAAUCACAUCAUUCUCCUAAUGAUGUGAUCCCGUUAAUCAAAUAACAACUCAUGUCUAUGGUUAGGAAACUUAACCAUCUUUGAUCAAUGAGCUAGUUAAGUAGAGACAUACUAGUGACACUCUGUUUGUCUAGCCCGUGCUCUGCACGUUGAGAGGCAUAUAAAAACAUAUUCCAUUCAUUCGGUUUCAAAAGUCUAUCUCAUUUUUUCCUUUUUUGCUUUGUAAGUCUUGUUUUUAUUGUUCUCGGUCACCUUUUUAGAUUUCGAGUCACGUUAAAUCGUUGCAUGCAAGAACUAAAAGAAAACUCACAAAUGUAUGUAGAAGUCUCUGGCCAUUUAGUGGUCACACAUGCAUGCAUUGCAGUUAAUUCAAAUUAACUUGUCGAUGAACUCCAUUCUUGAGGAAAAUGAGUACGCUAAUUGAGUACUUUCACAAAAUAUGAAGUUUAUCACAUCACCCACCAUCUACCUUGGUUCGAGAGUUUUUUGAAUUGGACCUUUUAAACCAGAAGGAGGGAGUAAUACGACUGUUAUCAGAAAUUGAAUAUGCUUAUAUAGUAAGAUAUAAAGAUAAGACGGUCAAGCAAAUAAUUUAUUCUGAAGUAAUGUUAUUUUUCAAAUCAGGCAUAAGUUUUUUUCAUAAACUUUACAAUUGGCAUAUUCUUGUGAAAUUUUGGUAUUAAUAUGACUAUUGUAUAAAUUUUGGAAAAUGCAAAUAAAAACAGCUUGAAUAGUUCCAGACUAUUCCAAUUGCCAAAUGUCCAAUACCAAUAAAAUUAUAUGUACAUAAGAAAUCUGAAAUUGUGAUAACAGAAUCUACUCUAUUGAUUUUUCUGGAAAACAUGUUCUAGGUCAAGCUAAAUGAGUUUGAUAUAGACACAAGUUAUUUUCUUUUUGAUGUCUCAACAUGUGUUUAAGAACUAAGAUAUUCAUUGAUGGAAUGGUAUAGUUUUCUUUAAGAAUGGAAAUGUUCAUUGAUGGUACAGUUUACACAAAUUAACCUCUCAACUAUUGACGUUUUUUUGUUAUUGCACUUUCCUAUUAGUUGGUUUUACUUGUAAACUCCAGUUAAAAAUAAAUGCUUUAGUGGACUAAAGAAACGUUCAUCAUAUAAAAUGCAAAGAUGGUGUGCAAUAGAAUGUGAAGCUUCAGAUUUAGUUUUCUUCUACGUUGCUUGGGGUUUGGUUGGGUAUAUUGGUACGUAAUCUUUUUUAGAGGUAUAUUGCUAUGUAAUCUUGGUUGCAGUGAUACAUCCACUCCGACUGGGCCAGGCAAAAAAUUCACUCGGCCCACAAGUGACAAGUCCUCAAACGGACAGGGCUUCUGAAAAUGUCGCGUAGCUCCCAGGCACGCAACGUGUUGCGGGGGCAGAUGCGUGUGACAGGACUGGCGAAUCCAGCGCAUGCUAGCCGUUGGAUUCUUAGCUUUGAUGAUGGAUGAACGGUCGCUGUUAGUACAUCUUGGCAAAUCAACGACUGCAAUCACUCGAGUGCUGUUUUGGCGGGAAAGCCAAGACAAACGUGGUAAAUCCAAAUUUUAAACUGACACAUUAUAGUAGUAGAGAUAUGUAUUCACACAUGUAUUAUAUUUGCGGUUAAUACAAUUCUAAUAUGAAUAAUAAACAUUUAUCAUGAAACAAGGAAAUAAAUAAUAACUUUAUUAUUGCCUUUAGGGCAUAUUUCCUUCAGUCUCCCACUUGCACUAGAGUCAAUAAUCUAGAUCACAUCGUCAUGUGAUUUAACAUCAAUAGUUCACAUCACCAUGUGAUUAACACCCAUAGUUCACAUCGUCAUGUGACCAACACCCAAAGGGUUUACUGAGUCAAUAAUCUAGUUCACAUCGCUAUGUGAUUAAUACCCAAAGAGUACUAAGGUGUGAUCAUGUUUUUCUUGUGAGAGAAGUUUAGUCAACGAGUCUGCAACAUUCAGAUCCGUAUGUAUUUUACAAAUUUCUAUGCCAACAAUGCUCUGCACGGAGGUACUCUAGCUAAUUGUUCCCACUUUCAAUAUGUAUCCAGAUUGAGACUUAGAGUCAUCUGGAUCAGUGUCAAAAUUUGCAUCGAUGUAACCUUUUACGACGAACCUUUUUAUCACUUCCAUAAUCAAGAAACAUAUACUUAUUUCACUAAGGAUAAUUUUGACCGCUGUCCAGUGAUCUACUCCUAGAUUAAUAUUGUACCCCCUUACCAAAAUCAGUGUACGGCAUACAAUAGAUCUGGUACAUAGCAUGGCAUAUUUCAUAGAACCUAUGGCCAAGGCAUAGGGAAUGACUUUCAUUCUCUUUCUAUCUUCUGCCGUGGUCGGGCUUUGAGUCUUACUCAGUUUCACACCUUGUAACACAGGCAAGGACUCUUUCUUUGACUGUUCCAUUUUGAACUACUUCAAAAUCUUGUCAAGGUAUGUACUCAAUGAAAAACUUAUCAAGCGUCUUGAUCUAUCUCUAUAGAUCUUGAUGCUCAAUAUGUAAGCAGUUUCAACGAGGUCUUUCAUUGAAAAACUCCUUUCAAACAUUCCUUUAUGCUUUGCAGAAUAAUUCUACAUUAUGUCCGAUCAACAAUAUGUCAUUCACAUAUACUUAUCAGAAAUGUUGUAUGCUCCCAUUCACUUUCUUGUAAAUACAGACUUCACCGCAAGUCUGUAUAAAACUAUAUGUUUUGAUCAACUUAUCAAAGCAUAUAUUCCAACUCCGAGAUGCUUGCACCAGUCCAUAGAUGGAUCGCUGGAGCUUGCAUAUUUUGUUAGCACCUUUAGGAUUGACAAAUCCUUCUGGUUGCAUCAUAUACAACUCUUCUUAAAUAAAUCCAAUAAGGAAUGCAAUUUUGUCUAUCCAUUUGCCAGAUUUCAUAAAAUGCGGCAAUUGCUAACAUGAUUCAGAUAGACUUAAGCAUAGAUACGAGUGAGAAACUCUCAUCGUAGUCAAUACCUUGAACUUGUCGAAAACCUUUUUGCGACAAUUCUAGCUUUGUAGAUAGUAACACUACUAUCAGCGUCCGUCUUCCUCUUGAAGAUCCACUUAAUCUCAAUGGCUCGCCAAUCAUUGGGCAAGUCAAUCAAAGUCCAUACUUUGUUCUCAUACAUGGAUCUCAUCUCAGAUUUCAUGGCCUCAAGCCAUUUCGUGGAAUCUAGGCUCAUCAUCGCUUCCUCAUAGUUCGUAGGUUCGUCAUGGUCAAGUAACAUGACCUCCAGAACAGGAUUACCGUACCAUUCUGGUGCGGAUCUCACUCUGGUUUACCUACGAGGCUCAGUAGUAACUUGAUCUGAAGUUACAUGAUCAUCAUCAUUAGCUUCCUCACUAAUUGGUGUAGUAGUCACACGAAUAUAUUUCUGUGAUGAACUACUUUCCAAUAAGGGAGCAGGUACAGUUACCUCAUCAAGUUCUACUUUCCUCCCACUCACUUCUUUCGAGAGAAACUCCUUCUCUAGAAAGGAUCAAUUCAUAGCAACAAAUAUCUUGCCUUCGGAUCUGUGAUAGAAGGUGUACCCAACAGUUACUUUUGGGUAUCCUAUGAAGACGCACUUCUCCGACUUGGGUUUGAGCUUAUCAAAAUGAAACUUUUUCACAUAAGCAUCGCAACCCCAAACUUUAAGAAACGACAGCUUGGGUUUCUUGCAAAACCAUAGUUCAUACGGUGUCGUCUCAACGGAUUUAGAUGGUGGCCUUUUUAAUGUGAAUGCAGCUGUCUCUAAUGCAUAACCCCAAAACGAUAGUGGUAAAUCGAUAAGAGACAUCAUAGAUUGCACUAUAUCAAAUAAAGUAUGGUUAUGGCAUUCGGACACACCAUUACGCUGUCGUGUUCCAAGUGGCAUGAGUUUGUGAAACUAUUCCACAUUGUUUUAAUUGAAGAUCAAACUCCUAACUCAAAUAUUCGCCUCUGCGAUCAGAUCGUAGAAACUUUAUUUUCUUGUUACGAUGAUUUUCCACUUCACUCUGAAAUUUUUUGAACUUUUCAAAUGUUUCAGACUUAUGUUUCUUCAAAUAGAUACACUCAUAUCUGCUCAAAUCAUCUAUGAAGAUCAAAAAAUAAUGAUACCUGCCGCGAGCCUCAAUAUUCAUCGGACCACAUACAUCAGUAUGUAUGAUUUCCAACAAAUCUGUUGGUCGCUCCAUUGUUCCGGAGAACGGAGUCUUAGUCAUCUUGCCCAUGAGGCAUGGUUCGCAAGCAUCAACUAAUUCAUAAUCAAGUGAUUCCAAAAGCCCAUCAGCAUGGAUUUUCUUCAUGCGCUUUACACCAAUAUGACCUAAACGGCAGUGCCACAAAUAAGUUGCACUAUCAUUAUUAACUUUGCAUCUUUUGACUUCAAUAUUAUGAAAAUGUGUAUCACCACGAUCGAGAUCUAACAAACCAUUUUCAUUGGGUUUGUGACCAUAGAAGGUUUUAUUCAUGUAAACAGAACAACAAUUAUUCUCUAAAUUACAUGAAUAAUCAUAUUGCAAUAAACAUGAUCCAAUCAUAUUCAUGCUCAACACAAACACUAAAUAACAUUUAUUUUAGGUUUAACACUAAUCCUGAAAGUAUAGGGAGUGUGCGAUGAUGAUCAUAUCAAUCUUGGAACCAUUUCCAAUACACAUGGUCACUUCACCCUUAACUAGUCUCUCUUCAUUCUACAACUCCCGUUUCGAGUUACUAUUCUUAGCAAAUGAACUAGUAUCAAAUACUGAGGGGUUGCUAUAAACACUAGUAAAGUACACAUCAAUAACAUGUAUAUCAAAUAUACCUAUAUUCACUUUGCCAUCCUUCUUAUCCGCCAAUUACUUGGGGUAGUUCCACUUCCAGUGACCAGUCCCUUUGCAGUAGAAGCACUCAGUUUCAGGCUUAGGUCCAGACUUGGGUUUUUUCACUUGAGUAGCAACUUGCUUGCCGUUCUUCUUGAAGUUUCCCUUUCUUUCCUUUGUCCCUUUACUUGAAACUAGUGGUUUUGUUUACCAUCAACACUUGAUGCUUUUCUUGAUUUCUACCUUUGUUGAUUUCAGCAUCACGAAGAUCUUGGGUAUCGUUUCCAUUAUCCCUUGCAUAUUAUAGUUCAUCACGAAGUUCUACUAACUUGGUGAUGGUGACUAGAGAAUUCUGUCAAUCACUAUUUUAUCUGGAAGAUUAACUCUCACUUGAUUCAAGCGAUUGUAGUACCCAGACAAUCUGAGCACAUGCUUACUGCUUGAGUUAUUCUCCUCCAUCUUUUAGCUAUAGAACUUGUUGGAGACUUCAUAUCUCUCAACUCGGGUAUUUGCUUGAAAUAUUAACUUCAACUCCUGAAACAUCUCAUAUGGUUCAUGACGUUCAGAAUGUCUUUGAAGUCCCGAUUCUAAGCCGUUUAAGCAUGGUGCACUAAACUAUCAAGUAGUCAUCAUAUUGAGCUAGCAAAACGUUCAUAACAUCUGCAUCUGCUCCUGCAAUAGGUUUGUCACCUAGCGGUGCAUCAAGGACAUAAUUCUUCUGUGCAGCAAUGAGGAUAAACCUCAGAUCACGGAUCCAAUCCGCAUCAUUGCUACUAACAUCUUUCAACUUAGUUUUCUCUAGGAACAUAUCAAAAAUAAAACAAGGGAGCUAAACGCGAGCUAUUGAUCUACAACAUAAAUAUGCUAAUACUACCAGGACUAAGUUCAUGAUAAAUUUAAGUUCAAUUCAUCAUAUUACUUAAGAACUCCCACUUAGAUAGACAUCCCUCUAAUCCUCUAAGUGAUCACGUGAUCCAUAUCAACUAAACCAUGUCCGAUCAUCAUGUGAGAUGGAGUAGUUUCAAUGGUGAACAUCACUAUGUUGAUCAUAUCUAUUAUAUAAUUCACGCUAGACCUUUCGGUCUCAGUGUUCUGAGGACAUAUCUGUUAUAUGCUAGGCUCGUCAAGUUUAACCUGAGUAUUCCGCGUAUGCAACUGUUUUGCACCCGUUGUAUUUGAACGUAGAGCCUAUCACACCCGAUCAUCACGUGGUACCUCAACACGAAGAACUUUCGCAACGGUGCAUACUCAGGAAGAACUCUUGUACCUUGAUAAUUAGUGAGAGAUCAUCUUAUAAAGCUACCAUCAAACUAAGAAAAAUAAGAUGUAUAAAAGAUAAACAUCACAUGCAAUCAAAAUAUGUGACAUGAUAUGGCCAUCAUCAUCUUGUGCCUUUGAUCUCCAUCUCCAAAGCAUCGUCAUGAUUUCUAUCGUCACCGGCAUGACACCAUGAUCUCCAUCAUCUUGAUCUAUAUCAAUGUGUCGUCACAUGGUCGUCUCGCCAACUAUUGCUCUUGCAACUGUUGCUAUCGCAUAGCGAUAAAGUAAAGCAAUUAUUUGGCGCUUGCAUCUUAUGCAAUAGAAAGACAACCAUAAGGCUUUUGCCAGUUGCCGAUAACUUCAACAAAACAUGAUCAUCUCAUACAACAACUUAUAUCUCAUCACGCCUUGACCAUAUCACAUCACAACAUGCCCUACAAAAACAAGUUAGACGUCCUCUACUUUUUGGUUGCAAGUUUUACAUGGCUGCUACGGGCUGAGCAAGAACCGUUCUUACCUACGCAUCAAAACCAUAACGAUAGUUUGUCAAGUUAGUGUUCUUUUAACCUUCUCAAGGACCGGGCGUAGCCACACUCGAUUCAACUAAAGUUGGAGAAACUGGCACCCGCCGGCCACCUAUGUGCAAAGCACGUCGGUAGAACCAGUCUCGCGUAAGCGUACGCGUAAUGUCGGUCCGGGCAGCUUCAUCCAACAAUACCGCCGAACCAAAGUAUGACAUGCUGGUAAGCAGUAUGACUUGUAUCACCCACAACUCACUUGUGUUCUACUCGUGCAUAUUACAUCAACGCAUAAAACCUGGCUCGGAUACCACUGUUGGGGAACGUAGUAAUUUCAAAAAAAUUCCUAUGCAGACGCAGGAUCAUGGUGAUGCAUAGCAACAAGAGGGGAGAGUGUUGUCUACGUACCCUCGUAGACCGUUCGCGGAAGCGCUAUAUCAACGCGGUUGAUGUAGUCGUACGUCUGCACGAUCCGACCGAUCCAAGUACCGAAAGCACGGCACCUACGAGUUCUGCACACGUUCGGCUCGGUGACGUCCUCGCCUUCUCAAUCCAGCAAGAGGGGCGAAGUAGUAGAUGAGUUCCGGCUGCACGAUGGCUUGGUGACGGUGUUGGUGAAGAACAAUCUUCGCAGGGCUUCGCCUAAGCACUACGAAAACUAUGAUGGAGGAUAAACUAGAGGGGACGGGGUUGCCGGCACACGGCUUGGUGUUUCUUGAUGUGUCUUUGGUGCUAGCCCUGCCCCUCUAUUUAUAUGUUCAACCCUGGGGUCGAAACUUGGAGCAAAAGCCUCCUCAAAGUCGGUUUUUCCCAAAAGGCAAGAGUCCCACUCGGACUCCAGGACCAAAUGCCACAAUCCUUGGUGUCUGGCCCGGACGCCAUAGGCCUGGGCAUCUGGCCCAGGGCCAGACGCCAGGGUCUCCAGCGUUUGGCCCCCUGGCCUCCGCAAAACUCCUUUUGCACCGACUUAUAGCCCCAUGGGCCUGACCCCUUGGCCUAACCAUAUCAUCCAAUAUAUCAAUAUUUACCUCCGGACCAUUCCGGAGGUCCUCGCCAUGUCUGUGAUCUCAUCCGGGACUCCGAACAACAUUCGGUCACCAACAUACAUAACUCAUAUAAUACUAUAUCGUCAACGAACGUUAAGCGUGCGGACCCUACGGGUUCGAGAACUAUGUGGACAUGACCGAGACACUUAUCUGGUCAAUAACCAAUAGCGGAACCUGGAUGCCCAUAUUGGCUCCUACAUAUUCUACGAAGAUCUUUAUCAGUCAGACCACAUAACAACAUACGAUGUUCCCUUUGUCAUCGGUAUGUUACUUGCUCGAGAUUCGAUCGUCGGUAUCUCAAUACCUAGUUCAAUCUCGUUACCGGCAAGUCUCUUUAUUCGUUCUGUAAUACAUCUUCCCGCAACUAAAUCAUUAGUUGCAAUGCUUGCAAGGCUUAUAGUGAUAUACAUUACCGAGUGGGCCCAGAGGUACCUCUCCGACAAUCAGAGUGACAAAUCCUAAUCUCGAAAUACGCCAACCCAACAAGUACCUUCAGAGACACCUGUAGAGCACCUUUAUAAUCACUCAGUUACCUCGUGACGUUUGGUGGCACACAAAGUGUUCCUCCGGUAAACAGGAGUUGUAUAAUCUCAUAGUCAUAGGAACAUGUAUAAGUCAUGAAGAAAGCAAUAGCAACAAACUAAACGAUCAAGUGCUAAGCUAACAGAAUGGGUCAAGUCAAUCACAUCAUUCUCCUAAUGAUGUGAUCCCGUUAAUCAAAUGACGACUCAUGUCUAUGGUUAGGAAACUUAACCAUCUCUGAUCAACGAGCUAGUCAAGUAGAGGCAUACUAGUGACACUCUGCUUGUCUAUGUAUUCACACAUGUAUUAUGUUUCCGGUUAAUACAAUUCUAGAAUGAAUAAUAAACAUUUAUCAUGAAAUAAGGAAAUAAAUAAUAACUUUAUUAUUGCCUCAAGGGCAUAUUUCCUUCAAAUGCCACAUGUCAUGCACGUGUAGAAAUAGUUAUUAGCACACAUACAUGUGGGUAAUUUGAAGUAGUAUCAUAUUUCACACUAUUUUUUAAGUAUUAUCAUGAUUUGAACUACCAUAGUUGGAGUCACACAAUUCGUCAGGCAAUUAAUCAUUAGUUAUAAGAUUAUACAUGAUUUAAUAAUAUAUUUGUGUAAUACCGAAUUUACACAAUAUAGAAUAGCAUGAGAAAAAGGAUGAUAGGUUCGUCCUCAAAUGUUUGUCUUAAUACAGUUUAAGACGUAGUAUUAGAUUGAGAAAUGGAAAGAGUAUUGUUUGCAAGUUUUUUAUCGUUAGAAAUAGAAUAAUAAUUUAAACAAUAAUUAUGUCUGUUUUGCAGAUCAGGAUUUUCAAAGAAUUGUUGACAAAAAACUAACAAAACAAGGGUAAUAAUAUUUGUAAAAUGAAUUUAUAAGGGCAACUAAAAGCUAUUUAGCUGUACAUAUAUUACAUUUUCACUUCGUUUGCUAUUCUUUAAUUUGUUCAGCUUGUGCACCUUUACCCAGGCUACACCAUCACAUGCUUUCUCUCUUAUCAUGAUGCGUACUUGCAGUGUCUAGUACUCCCAGUGCUACUCUACUCUACUUGCUAAUUCUCCUUGCUUUCUUUGUAGCCAGCCACUAUUCAGAAAUUUCUAGCAGUACCAAUGAACCCCAGUCCAAUUCUUAUCAUAAGAAACGCUUUGACGAACUUUUAUUUCUAUUUAUUAUUUACCAGUCAUCCACCCAUGCACCUACAUGGGCUAGCAAAUUAAAUUAUGUACAUAAUAAUUAAAAUGUUAAAAUAUUUUUUAUUUAAUGCACCAACGAAAGAAGAGCUAUUUAGCACAGAAAGAACUAUAGCAUACUUCUCUGAAAGGCUCAGUUCCAAAUUCUUUCCGUGACACUCCUUCAAAAGUACAGACGCCUAUUAUCUUAAGGAGCCUAUGGUCCGACAAAAAUAUCUGAAGUGAAAAAUAAGUAAAUAUAUUUGACCUAAGGAAUGUGCAACUCAAUAGUAAAAUUCCCUUCAACACUUAAGAGAAAGAUUAACAUUUUUAUAAAAACCUCAAUAGUCCAAAAGAUACAUAGACAUUAAACAAACACAAAACUAUACCAUGGAUGAUACAAAUAUCAAUAGUGAUACAUAUACAUUCUUCAGUAAUCAAAAUCAUAUACAUUCCAGCUCAUGAAUUGAGCUAACCUUGGCAAAUAGGGCAUGCAUACAUCGCAUUACACAAGAAAAACAAUAAAAGCUGCAUAGUGCAUACAGGGACAGAGCACGAGGAUAAAGUUGGAGAUAUUUUUUGCUGCAUCCAUGAACUAUUAAAAUCAUUCUCUCAGUAACAAAACAUCGAGCCGCCGCCCACUGCACACCACACUGAGCAGCCGCGCACCCAAAUCCCCCCCUCUCCCAAGAUCUCAUCGCCGCCGCCCACCGGCCGGACCUCUCCGCGUCCGGAGCCCACCCACCGCGCCACCGUGGUCACCGCGGUGGGCUAGGGUUUGGUCUUUCACGCGGCCGUGCUGCUCGUGGUUGACCUCUGUCCGCAUCGACCUCCACCACCCGGGCUUCACCUCCGUCGCCGUCUACACCGACCUCCACCGCUCGGGCUACACCGCCAUCACCGUCUGCAUCGACCACCAUCGCCCGGGCUUCACCUCCGUCACGGUCUGCAUAGACCUCCCCCACCCGGGCUUCACCUUCAUCGUCGUCGGCCUCCACCACCAAAGUAACCUUCCCCCCUCCACCACAAAUCUUGACGACGACGAAUGCGAGGAGCAGAUGGCUGCAGGUCACCAUGGCCGGUCUCUGCUUGCUGGUCCUGGUCAUCGAUAUGGUGACAUUGGUGGUGGUCUAGGACAAAAACACAUAUAUUUAGUAGUAAUGGUAUAUUAAGAUUGUGCAUAUAUAUAGCAUGCACUAAUCAAUCAAUGAUUAGUAUGGUAUAUUUAGUUAUCUUGAUGGUUGUUUUAUACCUGUAGUGCUUAUCAUGGUGUUCAAUUUUCUUAAUUUAGGUCACUACUUGGUGACUCAAAAUAUCUUAUAUCUGUUUACAGAGGCAGUAGUUAUUCUCAAUGUUCUGCAAAACCUACCGUUGAUCUUGUUGAUGUUUGAGCUGAUGUUGUUGCUGUCCUUACUGUUGAUGUAGCUAUUGUUGCCACCGGGCAUGUGGUUGCUGCUCUUCGGUGUGUUCUGCUUUGCUCCUAGAUCUGUUGUGCUCCGUGUUGGCUGGUGAGCUCCUCCUGAUGAAGACAUGUACCUAGGGUAGGGACACAGACCUGACCAAAGAGUCCUACCCUAGGACACCCCUGGGAGAAGUCACCUUUCAAUCGACUUGAAGGUAUCCCACUCGACGGGUUCAAGACACUCGACCAAGAAGCUAUCACUCGACCAUGAAGCCAACCACUCGACUGCCAGGAGACCUAAAGUCACUCCGCAGGCAAACGGUCGGCUGUCAAGUAGUCUUUAUGAUCAUUAUAGCACUUUAUUAGGGACGUUACCAGAAACGCCCAACCUUAAAUGUACCUUAAACCCUGCAUUACUGAGGGCGGGAGGGUCCGGCGAACUCUAUAUAAGCCACCCCCUCCUCAAUAUGAAGGGUUCGCACCCCUGUAUCCAUACACGCAUAAUCCAGUCGACCGCCUCCGGGCUCCGAGACGUAGGGCUAUUACUUCCUCUAAGAAGGGCCUGAACUCGUAAACCUCGCGUGUAACAACUUCCCAAUAGCUAAGAUCUAGCCUCUCCAUACUCGCCCCCCUACAUCACUGUCAGAGUUAGAACCACGACAGUUGGCGCCCACCUUGGGGCAGGAAUCUUAGCACUUAGUUGGAGAAGUUGCGAUCUUUUCCGAUCCCUUUGAUCAUGUUUUCUUGUGGAGUUUUGGUGGAGGACCGCGAGAUCCGUCUCGGCGCGCUCACCUUCAUCGUCGAUGACUCCGCCUGGCUUCAGGAGGCACCACUCGACAUCGACGCGCUCCCCGUCCGCGGUGCGACGCACUUCCGCGCAUGCAUUCGUGGCGUCCUCCUGCGGCAGCCAUCGACUCAGUAUCGGUCGGCCCCUGCGUCGUCUCCCCGCCCUGUCUCCCGCCAGCGCAAGCGCUCCGGUCGGUCAAGACUCCAGCGGUGGGUGAGGCAUGCCGUGGCCCGCCAGUCGGCAGCCCCACAAGUCGCGGCAAUCGAGCCCGAUGAAUCCCACUGCGGCCUGUUCGACCUGUCGACUGGCUCCGCGGAGACUGCAUCCGAGUGCGACAGCAGCGACCCAACGGCUGAGAUUCUGGCGGUCGACGGAACGCACAGUCCUCCCGGUUUCCCUCGCGUGGAUGGAGGCGCGGGUGGGGGCGAUCCGUCGCAUCCCCACGAUGAGUAUCUCCCCGAACCUCUCACGUCAUUGCAGCGAGAGGAGCUUCGCCGCCGGAACAUGGACGCGCUCCGCACUCCUAUCGUCGGAGAGACCCCCGAGGCCCGGGCCUUGGAGGACGCGCGUUUUGCCAACUUGGCCGAGCGCACUCGACUGGAGAAUCUCCAGCGAGCACUCAACGAGCAAGCGCGUCAGCGGGCUCCCGAGUCUAGUCGACGCCAGCUCUUCCCGCCGAUGCAGGUAUAUUGAACCCCAGUUCAGAAUUUGGCCGCCGCGGCCCAUAUAGCAGAAUCGAUUCAGCCCUCCCAGUCAGAGGCUGGCAGGGGCUUGUUACAGAUCAGAGCAUUGUUCCGGGCGGUGGGAAACCAGAAUUCCGCUGCCUCUCAGUCGCGGAAUAGAAUCCACAGUCGAUCUGUCGCAACAGAUACAGUCAAGUCGGCUCACAGCCCCGAGAUCGCCCCCGAGGCGUGAGGGACGUGGUGACCGGCGUGACCUGUACAGGAGGAAUGAGCAGUAUGAUCACCGAUUCGACCGUGAUGAUCAACGUCGAGUGCCAACCCCUCCCCCGAGGAGUGGGUCAUAUGCGCCUCGACGGCAAGAUGACAGACGCCCUCAUAGUGUUGGGCAGAGGAUUCCAGUCGACCCCAAAGACCCAGGCUUUGAUGCGAGAUCCAUCCUCGUUCAAGGUUUGGUUGACAGGAACAGAGCUCAUCGAGGAGGCCACAACAAAGAUACGCCUGCCAGCAGCGGAGUACGUGCUUCAGGGCCAGAGUGUUUCAGUCGAGCCAUCAGAGCCGCUGUGAUUCCUCCCAAUUUCAGGCUGGUGACUGGAAUCAGCAAGUUCACCAGUGAAUCUAAGCCUGACACCUGGCUCGAAGAUUACCGAGUGGCUGUACAGAUUGGUGGUGGCAAUGAUGAGGUGGCCAUGAAGCAUUUGCCUCUCAUGUUAGAGGGCUCGGCCAGAGCAUGGCUAAAUCAGUUAGCACCCAGCAGCAUUUACACUUGGGAGGACCUCUCCCGAGUGUUUAUCACGACCUUUGAAGGAACAUGCAAGCGACCUGCAGGCCUUACAGAAUUGCGGUCUUGCGUGCAGAAGCCGAAUGAAACUCUGAGGGAAUACAUCCAGAGGUGGAUCACGCUGCAUCACUCGGUUGAGAAUGUGCCAGACCAUCAAGCGGUUUGUGCCUUCAAGGAAGGUGUCAAAUACAGAGAGUUGAAUCUGAAGUUCGGUCGAACUGGAGAGAUGUCUCUGAAUCAAAUGAUGGAGAUUGCCACCAAGUACGCUAACGGAGAAGAUGAAGAUCGACUCCAGAGUGGCAAGCAGAAAGCAGUCGCCCAGGAAACCGGAGGCAAUUCCAGUCGGAAGCAGAAGCGGAAGGCCGAGCCAGCCGCCCCUGGGGAGGCCCUGGCCGCAACCCAGGGAAAUUUCAAGGGAAAACCCAAAGGCCCCUGGAAGCCCAAGAAAGUCAAGGAUCAAGACGGAAAUGAUGUUUUGGAUCUGCCAUGUCACAUCCACACCAAGAAGGAUGAAGAGGGUAAUUUUAUUUACCCAAAGCAUACCACUCGACAGUGCCAGCUCCUGAUCCAGCAGUUCCAAGGAAAGCAGUCCAAGGAUAAGGAAAAAGAGUCGGACAGAGUCGAGGACAAGGAAGACAGUGACGAUGGAUACCCCCAAGUCAAUUCCACCCUGAUGAUUUUUGCCGAUGUCGAAAGCAAAAGUCGACUGAAAGUCAUUAACCGAGAGGUGAACAUGGUUGCCCCGGCAACACCCAGUUACCUGAAGUGGUCUCAGACUACCAUCACAUUCGACCAGUCUGAUCACCCGACGCACAUUGCCACCCCUGGGAGGCAAGCUUUGCUGGUCGACCCAAUUGUUGAAGGCACUCGACUGACUAAAGUCCUGAUGGAUGGUGGCAGUGGCUUGAACAUACUGUAUGCUGAAACAUUGAAAGGAAUGGGCAUUCCGAUGUCCAGGCUCAGCACCAGUAACAUGAGUUUCCACGGAGUCAUUCCUGGGAAGAAAGCCCAAUCACUCGGCCAGAUCGCUCUUGAUGUGGUUUUCGGUGAUUCAAAGAAUUACCGCAAGGAAAAGUUGACAUUCGAGGUUGUGGACUUCCAAAGUGCUUAUCACGCCAUUUUGGGCAGGCCAGCUUACGCACGCUUCAUGGCCCGGCCAUGUUACGUGUAUCUCAAACUGAAGAUGCCUGGCCCCAAAGGUGUGAUCACUGUUACAGGCAAUCGGAAGAAGGCGGAAGAGUGCUUUCAGAAGGGCUCAAAGAUUGCAGAUGCUCAGAUGGCAGUGGUCGAGCUGCAAGAGUACCAAAAGACUGCCGAUCCAAGUGAGUUGCUUCGAGCCAAGAAGCCUGCUUCAGAAUCAGCUUUUCAGUCGUCCGGUGAAACAAAGACAGUCCACAUUCACCCGACCGACCCCGAUGCUGCCCCGACUCACAUCUCAACGAUGCUUGACUCCAAAUAGGAAGAAGCGCUCAUCCAGCUCCUCCGUGAGAACUGGGACAUCUUCGCAUGGAAACCCUCUGACAUGCCUGGAGUUCCCAGAGGGCUGGAUGAGCACCGUCUACGAGUCGACCCGAAGUUCAAGCCUGUGAAAGAACAUCUUCGACGAUCCGCCGUCCAUAAGAGGAAAGCCAUUGGCGAGGAGGUGGCUCGGCUCUUAGCAGCGGAGUUCAUCCGAGAGAUUUACCACUCCGAGUGGCUCGCCAAUGUCGUCAUGGUCCUCAAGAAGGACAAGUCACUUCGCAUGUGCAUUGAUUUCAAACAUAUCAAUCGAGCCUGCCAGAAAGAUCAUUUUCCUCUCCCUCGCAUCGACCAAAUAGUCGACUCGACUGCGGGGUGCGAGAGAUUGUCUUUUCUAGAUGCUUAUUUUGGGUACCAUCAGAUCCGUCUGUAUGGACCCGACGAAAUCAAAACAGCUUUCAUCACCCCAUUCGGAUGCUUCUGUUAUGUCACCAUGCCGUUCGGCCUCAAGAACGCCGGAGCCAUGUUCAUGAGAAUGAUUCAGAAGUGUUUACUCACUCAAAUCAGUCGGAAUGUGGAGGCAUACAUGGAUGAUAUUAUGGUCAAGUCACGCAAAGGUUCCGACCUGCGAGCUGACCUUGCCGAAACCUUUGCCAACCUCAGGAGGUAUGAUAUCAAGCUCAAUCCAUCAAAGUGUACAUUCGGAGUUCCAGGUGGAAAGUUACUCGGUUUUCUCGUUUCUGAACGGGGGAUCGACGCCAAUCCUGAAAAAGUUGGCACCAUACUCCGGAUGAAGCGUCCCGUUCGCGUGCACGACAUCCAAAAGCUUACAGGCUGCUUGGCCGCCCUAAGUCGAUUCAUUUCUCGCCUCGGUGAAAAGGCGUUGCCCCUUUACCGACUGAUGAAGAAGUCUGACAAGUUCGAGUGGACUCCGGAAGCUGAUGCAGCAUUUGCAGAGCUCAAAGCUCUGCUCUCCACCCAGCCGGUGCUUGCUGCCCCCAAUCAGCAAAGAGCCUCUGCUGCUUUACAUUGCAGCCACAGGGCAAGUUGUCAGCACAGUACUUACGGUCGAGCGGGAAGAAGAAGGAAAGGCCUUCAGAGUUCAGCGCCCAGUCUAUUAUGUGUCUGAAGUUUUGACACCUUCAAAACAAAGAUACCCUCACUACCAGAAGCUUGUAUAUGGAAUUUAUAUGACCACCAAGAAGGUUGCACAUUACUUCUCUGACCACUCCAUUACAGUCGUCAGCGAUGCCCCACUGUCAGAGAUUCUGCAUAACAGAGAUGCAACUGGUCGAGUGGCCAAGUGGGCGAUUGAACUCCUUCCCUUAGAUAUCAAGUUUGAAGCAAAGAAGGCUAUCAAGUCCCAACCAAUCGCAGAUUUCAUCGCCGAGUGGAUUGAACAGCAACUUCUGGCUCAAGUUCACUCGGAGCACUGGACCAUGUUCUUCGAUGGAUCUAAGAUGCUGAAUGGUUCCGGUGCUGGGGUAGUUCUAGUCUCCCCCCGAGGAGAUAAGCUCAGAUAUGUUCUCCAGAUUCACUUCGAUUCCUCCAACAAUGAAGCAGAGUAUGAAGCACUUUUGUACGGGUUGCGCAUGGCCAUUUCACUCAGCGUCCGUCGCCUCAUGGUCUACGGCGACUCAGAUUGGUGGUUAGUCAGGUGAUGAAGGAGUGGGACGUCAGAAGUCCAGCUAUGACUGGUUAUUGCAAUGCAGCGAGAAAGCUAGAAAAGAAAUUCGAGGGGUUAGAGCUUCAUCACAUCCCCCGACUGAAAAAUCAAGCAGCUGAUGAUCUGGCAAAAAUAGGCUCCAAGAGAGAAGCCAUUCCCAGCAAUGUGUUUCUGGAGCACAUCCACUCGCCGUCAGUCCAGGAGGAUCCUUUCACAGAAGAAGCCCCACAACCGAAAAGUGCCACAGAUCCGACUGAAGUCGAAGUUCCUGCUGUGGUCGACCUAAUCAUGGAAGUGUUGGCAAUCACUCCCGACUGGACAAUACCGUACAUCGCGUAUAUCCUAAGGAAAGAGCUCCCAGAAGACGAGGAAGAGGCUCGACAGAUCGUCCGCCGAUCCAAGGCCUUCAUAGUCAUAAAGGGGCAGUUGUAUAGAGAAAGCGCGACUGGAAUCGGUCAAAAGUGCAUAACACCAGAAGAAGGUCGGAUAAUCCUCGAUGAUAUCCACUCGGGGACCUGUGGCCACCAUGCGUCCUCUCGGACCAUUUGGCUAAAGCAUACCGAGCGGGAUUUUACUGGCCUAGAGCAAAUGGGAUGGCAAAAGAGAUAGUCGACAAAUGUGGAGGCUGCUAGUUUUACUCCAACAUGUCACACAAGCCUGCAUCAGCCCUGAAGACCAUUCCAGUCGUCUGGCCGUUUGCUGUCUGGGGACUGGACAUGGUUGGUCCACUGAGAACAGGCAUGAGCGGAUUCACGCAUGUGCUUGUGGCAGUCGACAAGUUCACCAAAUGGAUUGAAGCCAAGCCUAUCAAGAACCUCGAUGCUGGCACUGCUAUCAGUUUCGUCAGAGGACUAACAUUCAGAUAUGAAGUCCCUCAUAGCAUCAUCACUGACAAUGGGUCAAACUUCGAUUCGGACCAGUUCAGAGCUUUUUGCGCCUCUCAAGGCACACGAGUCGACUACGCGUCGGUCGCGCAUCCUCAGUCGAAUGGACAAGCUGAAAGAGCAAAUGGUUUGAUUCUCAAAGGACUGAAGCCUCGGCUGAUGCGUGAUCUCAAGCACGCGGCAGGUGCUUGGGUCGACGAGCUUCCGUCAGUUCUGUCGGGAUUGAGGACCACCCCUAACCGGUCGACUGGAAGAACUCCAUUCUUUCUGGUUUAUGGAGCCGAAGCGGUUCUGCCAAGUGAUCUUCUUCACAACGCACCCCGAGUCGAGCUUUACACCGAAGAUGAAGCAGAAUAGGCCUGGCAAGAAGCAGUCGACCUCCUAGAAGAAGAGAGGGAGAUGGCCAUGAUCUGAUCGACCAUUUAUCAGCAAGACUUGCGUCGAUUCCACGCCCGGAAUAUGAAGAGUCGAGCUUUCCAAGAAGGAGAUUUGGUCCUCCGAGUGGAUCAACAGAAACCACACAAGCUUGCUCCUACUUGGGAAGGCCCUUUCAUCAUCACCAGAGUCCUCCACAAUGGAGUGUAUCACCUCUACAAUGUUGAUCACCAGAUCGAUGAGCCUCGAGCUUGGAAUGCGGAACUACUCCGCCCCUUUUACACUUGAGCUCUCCCUUGGACGAGAUGUAAUAAGAAAAAUUCCUGCAGUUUGUUUUUAUCAAAGGCAAGAAUGUUCCAUCAAUUGUUGUCACUUUUGUUUACAUACGGAAUCCCCCAGGGGUGACUUAGCUGCGAAUCCGUUUUCGCCUAAGUUUGAAAAAAUCCCACCGAGUGGAUAGCGAUCCUCCCACUCGGGGGCUUAGCUGCAGUCCAGCACUCACCUAAGUUGUCUCACCUAGAGACUUAGCUGCAGUCCGGCACUCGCCUAAGUUUGAAAAAAAUCCCACCGAGUGGAGAGCGAUCCUCCCACUCGGGGGCUUAGCUGCAGUCCAGCACUCACCUAAGUUCUAUCACCUAGAGACUUAGCUGCAGUCCGGCACUCGCCUAAGUUUGAAAAAAUCCCACCGAGUGGAGAGCGAUCCUCCCACUCGGGGGCUUAGCUGCAGUCCAGCACUCACCUAAGUUCUCUCACCUAGANNNNNNNNNNNNNNNNNNNNNNNNNNNNNNNNNNNNNNNNNNNNNNNNNNNNNNNNNNNNNNNNNNNNNNNNNNNNNNNNNNNNNNNNNNNNNNNNNNNNNNNNNNNNNNNNNNNNNNNNNNNNNNNNNNNNNNNNNNNNNNNNNNNNNNNNNNNNNNNNNNNNNNNNNNNNNNNNNNNNNNNNNNNNNNNNNNNNNNNNNNNNNNNNNNNNNNNNNNNNNNNNNNNNNNNNNNNNNNNNNNNNNNNNNNNNNNNNNNNNNNNNNNNNNNNNNNNNNNNNNNNNNNNNNNNNNNNNNNNNNNNNNNNNNNNNNNNNNNNNNNNNNNNNNNNNNNNNNNNNNNNNNNNNNNNNNNNNNNNNNNNNNNNNNNNNNNNNNNNNNNNNNNNNNNNNNNNNNNNNNNNNNNNNNNNNNNNNNNNNNNNNNNNNNNNNNNNNNNNNNNNNNNNNNNNNNNNNNNNNNNNNNNNNNNNNNNNNNNNNNNNNNNNNNNNNNNNNNNNNNNNNNNNNNNNNNNNNNNNNNNNNNNNNNNNNNNNNNNNNNNNNNNNNNNNNNNNNNNNNNNNNNNNNNNNNNNNNNNNNNNNNNNNNNNNNNNNNNNNNNNNNNNNNNNNNNNNNNNNNNNNNNNNNNNNNNNNNNNNNNNNNNNNNNNNNNNNNNNNNNNNNNNNNNNNNNNNNNNNNNNNNNNNNNNNNNNNNNNNNNNNNNNNNNNNNNNNNNNNNNNNNNNNNNNNNNNNNNNNNNNNNNNNNNNNNNNNNNNNNNNNNNNNNNNNNNNNNNNNNNNNNNNNNNNNNNNNNNNNNNNNNNNNNNNNNNNNNNNNNNNNNNNNNNNNNNNNNNNNNNNNNNNNNNNNNNNNNNNNNNNNNNNNNNNNNNNNNNNNNNNNNNNNNNNNNNNNNNNNNNNNNNNNNNAGCUGCAGUCGAGCACUCACCUAAGUUCUCUCACCUAGAGACUUAGCUGUAGUCCGACACUCGCCUAAGUUUGAAAAAAUCCUACCGAGUGGAGAGCAAACCUCCCACUCGGGGGCUUAGUUGCAGCCCAGUGCUCGCCUAAGUUUUCUCACCUAGAGACUUAGCUACAGUCCGGCACUCGCCUAAGUUCGGAAAAAUCCUACCGAGUGGAGAGCAAACCUCCCACUCGGGGGCUUAGCUGCAGCCCAGUGCUCGCCUAAGUGUUUAAAAAUCCUACCGAGUGGAGAGUAAACCUCUCACUCGGAGGCUUAGCUACAGCCCAGCGCUCGCCUAAGUACAAGACUCGACCCAAUCCGCGAGUCGACCGCUACCUUCUCCCUCGGAGCUGCGUCGCAAAUGCAAGAUUAUUCCGAGUGAAGAUCAAGUUCCACUCGACGAAUCAAACCGUGAAGAUAUCCAACGAGAAAUCAAGUUCAGAAAAAGCCCAAAAGGUCCCAGACCUCAAAGUACUCGAGCCCUCGGCUCGGCGGAGUUUAAACGGUUACAAAUCCACUCGGCAUCCCGAGGUAAAUUCAAAGUUUUUCACUCCUCGGGAGGAGGACUGGAAGGGGCGACGAACUCAUCCAAGUCGAUCCCGUCGGCGAUACGGGUGGCAGUGGCGAUGAAAGUCUCCAUGAAGUCUUGAAAGUUGUGCUUCCUGGUAUUUGCAACUUGGAUAGCCGCCAGCUUUUCUUCUCGCGCCUCCUUGCAAUGGAUGCGGACCAGAGACAGAGCGACAUCAGCACCACAUCUAGCAGAAGAUUUCUUCCAUUCUGCCACUCGACCUGGGACUUCGUUAAGUCGAGCCAUCAGAGACUCGAGGUCGUUCUGAAGCGUCGUCCCAGGCCAGAGUGAUGUGUCGAUCCGCGACAUUGCAACUUUCAGCCGAGCCAGAUAAUCAACGACGCUGGCAACACGAGACUCCAGUCGGAGCACGUUCAUGGCAGCCUCGUCCUUCACAAGAGAGUUAACAAGGUCCAAGCUUGGCUCCACUCGACUGGUCUCCUCUUCAAAGUUCUGACAGAAUUCUGCAAACACGAUUGAAGAGUAAGACAGUGGCCCUAUGCAGGCUUGGCAAACUGCAAGAUAGUCGGGGCAGAGUAAUUACCUUCGAGCAUGACGAACAACUUCUUGGCAAGUCCACCGAGAUAAGCUUCCAGAUCUUUUACCUUCCCCACCAGCUCACCCGCCUUGUCGUGCAGAGCCAUCUUCUCCUUCUUCAGUCGACUGGCAUCUCGAUUAGCUGCCUCGAGAGCGGUUUUCAGUCUGGAGUUCUCCUGUUCAAGAGCUCCGACUGAAGCCAAUUUCUCCUCUGCAAGCUUCGUUUUGCUUGAGGCCUCCUUCUGUGCCUCUGCAAGGUCUUGGUCCUUCUUCUUCAGAGCUUCCUCCAGUUUAUCUGAGGCGCGUCGAGUGGAACCAACAUCAAGAAUGGACAAGAAAGAAAAGCCACCCGUUAAGAAUAGAGAACCUCACCAGCCAUACCUUUCGCUUCUUCUUGCGCCUUCCUCAAAUUCUCCUGAGCAAGCUUCAAGUUAAGGUUGAGCUGGAUCUGCUGAUUCUCCAACUCAGUAUAGCGAGCUACAAGUUCGCAAGAUUUCUGUAAAAAGGAAAAUCAGUCGACAGACGUCCAAGAUAAGUUGCUUCCGAGUAACUAAGAGACAAUGAUGACGUUUCUAAGACCACAGCCGAAUCAAAAACAUUCGACAGUAGUCUCGGGGACUACACCCAGUGGGUGCACUCAGCGUGCCCCCACAAUUCCACUCGACCUGGCCCGACCAAACCGAGCGAAGAAAUACAGCUAUAGCAACACAAUGUAAAGACUACAGUCGACUGCCAGCAGUCCACCGUAGUCUCGGGGACUACACCCAGUGGGUGCACUUAGCGUGCCCCCACUCGUCCAAAGGAUUGGCAGACACACCCAGUGGGUGUACAGAUACAGAUACAAAAGAUCUUCGGAAAAGAGACUCUUCAAACAGCAUAUCAUAACAGACCAAGUGUCGAGUCGACUGACCUGGACGUUGCUCUGAAGAGUCGAACUCGCGUCAUAGGCUGCUUGGCUGGCCUCCCGAGCCAUCUUCACUUGCUCCAUCAUGAUCCCCGCCUGGCGUAUAGCCUCCUUUGCAGCAGCCGCUUGGUCCUCAGGGACGGGGUAGGCAACAAAAAGCGAAGGUGGAUCCGCAGUCGACGCCGAGGGCCGCGCACUCGCCAGAGGAACGGCGAAGGUCACAGAAGCCCGAGUGGUGUCACCACCAUCCCGAGCCACGGCCUCGGACGCCGAAGCGGAUUGGGGGGUCUUGUCAGCCGACGCCCUCUUGUGCCUCCUCACUCUCAGCGGACCGUCGUCAUCGUCAUCCGGGAGGUCGAUAACAUGAGAAGGAGCUACAAGGAAAACAUUCAAUCGACCAGAGUAGCAAUAAAGGUUCAGUCGACUCAAAGGCAGGACGUCAGCAAUCGUACCAGGGUUGGAGGUAACAGCGUCCUCCAUCUCUUGGUCGUCGUUCCUGGCGGAGACCUCAGAAGUAGCACCGCUGCAAAUCUCGAAAGUCAAUCAGUUGGUUCAGUGAAUCGACCAAGGAUCCGUCCACGGUCGACAAAGGAAAGCAAGUCUUAUUAUUACCCGGAAAUGGUAGGAACAGCCAUCUUCAUCUUGGGCAGAGCCUUGGGCGGCUUGGAUGGCGUCGCUCGUGGAUGCUUGGGAGCCUUCCCAGUCGGCGGAGGAGAAGAGGUCCGAGGGCGUUUCGACGACUGCCCAACAGGAGCAGUCGCCUUGCCACGUUCCCGCGCUGGAUCGUGGGUGAGCUUGGGUCGCCCCUCCGGGCGGGGGGGUUCAACCUCCUCCUCCUCCCCUUCGCUGGAGAAGAUGUCGUCGCCUCCCUCUCCCUCACCGUCGGACUCCCACUCGCCUUGGUCGUCCCCGCUCUCGCCUCCGCUCGCCUCCCCUUCCUUAGUCGACCCCUGUGCACCGUUGGGCGUCGAGUACAUCUCGGUGGUCGCCUGGAAAACAACAGACAAGACGAAGGUCAAUCGACGUAUUCAAAGAAGACCAAUGCAGAAGACAAGAUAUCAGUCGGGAGCGCAAAGACAUACCUGGUCCACCUCAUACGAGUUGUCGAGAGGGGUUACCCUCCUGGCUCCUCGGGGGUUGUCUUUGUUCCCCGUGAUGCUCGACAGCCACCCCUCCACCAUCUCGUCGGUGACCUCCUCCGGGUGGACCCGAGUGGUGUCGUCAAGACCCGAAUACAGCCACAUCGGGUGGUCGCGGGCCUGGAGCGGUUGGAUGCGCCUUUGAAGGAAGACCUCCAGCAGGUCCAUACCAGUCACACCCUCGCGGACAAGCUCAACCACUCGACCUGCCAGCACCUUGACUUGAGCCUUUUCCUCCGGCGCGACUUUCAGAGAGGCAGGCUUCUCGGCUCGGUCGAGGGAAAAAAGAGGAAGACCAGUCGACUGUCCUGGGGUCGCCUCGUCCUUGCAGUAGAACCAGGUCGACUGCCAGCCACGGACCGACUCCGGGAAGGUGAUAGAUGGAAAAUAGCUCUUCCCCCUCGUUUGGAUUGCCAGGCCCCCGCACAGCUGGAUCACCCGCGUCCUCUCGUCACUCGACUUAGCCUUCUUGACCGAUUGAGAACGGCAGGUAAAGAUGUGUUUGAAGAGUCCCCAAUGGGGCCGACAACCCAAGAAAGCCUCACGCAUGGAGAUGAAAGCAGUAAGGUAGACAAUAGAGUUGGGAGUGAAGUGGUGGAGCUGCGCUCCGAAGAAAUUCAGGAAACUCCGGAAGAAAGGAUGGGGCGGCAGAGAAAACCCUCGGUCGAUGUGGGUGGCUAGGAACACGCACUCACCGUCGCGGGGUUGAGGUUCGAUCUCUCCCCCCGGAAUACGCACAACUUCGUGGGGAAUGAAUCCCCCCUCGACCAUAUCGUCGAGAUCCUCUUGCCGGAGCACCGAUGGCAUCCAGUCGCCCUGGAUCCAACCUUUGGGCAGAGCGGUCCUGUAGGAAGAUCCGCCCCGAGCUGACCUCUUCCCUUUCCCCGCCGCCGCCGCCUUCUUCGCGCGCUCCAGAGCGGAGGUCUUGCUCUUCGUCAUCGUCGCCGGCGAAGUCUCGCACGGGCCUGCUGCGUUGGGGCGGGAACGGAGGUGGCGGAGGGACUUGCGAAGGGGGAGAGGCGGAAGAAAGGAGGAGAAUAGAGCCCACUGCUUGGAAACCCCGAGCCGGCGAUUUAUAAGGGACCGCUUCCGAGUGGCUGACUGGUAGGCCCAGGCUAUCCAGUCAAAUCCCGCAGCAGACGCGCGCGCAGUACGUGGCGAAAAAGAUGACACGGGGAUCGAGGAGCUUCCGCUUUAUCGCUUCCGAUUACUACGGCCGCUCCCGUCCCGCGCACUUCCCAAAAUCCGAAUCCCGCGACAUCCGCGGGCCAUAAAACAACUUGUCAAAACAGAAGACCCCGAUCACGCCGGCGCUCGGUGUGUCACAAACAAAGAAAUUCACUCGACGAAAGGCCUGGAAUGGAUCAAGGCGACUGAAAAAGGUUGGCAACGUCAUCCGUGAUGAUUGACCCAAAACGAGGCGCUCACAUAGCCCGAAGAACCAGUCGGAAAGAUCUCCAACUCUUUCCCCACUCUAACCUCGAUCCAUUCAGGGGCUAAUGAUGAAGACAUGUACCUAGGGUAGGGACACGGACCUGACCAAAGAGUCCUACCCUAGGACACCCCUGGGAGAAGUCACCUUUCAAUCGACUUGAAGGUAUCCCACUCGACGGGUUCAAGACACUCGACCAAGAAGCUAUCACUCGACCAUGAAGCCAACCACUCGACUGCCAGGAGACCUAAAGUCACUCCGCAGGCAAACGGUCGGCUGUCAAGUAGUCUUUAUGAUCAUUAUAGCACUUUAUUAGGGACGUUACCAGAAAUGCCCAACCUUAAAUGUACCUUAAACCCUGCAUUACUGAGGGCGGGAGGGGUCCAGCGAACUCUAUAUAAGCCACCCCCCUCCUCAGUAUGAAGGGUUCGCACCCCUGUAUCCAUACACGCAUAAUCCAGUCGACCGCCUCCGGGCUCCGAGACGUAGGGCUAUUACUUCCUCUAAGAAGGGCCUGAACUCGUAAACCUCGCGUGUAACAACUUCCCAAUAGCUAAGAUCUAGCCUCUCCAUACUCACCCCCCUACAUCACUGUCAGAGUUAGAACCACGACACCUCCUGCUCUACUGCUGCUGGUGCUUAAGGCUACUGCUUGUUGUUAUGCAUAUAUACUGUUGUUGCUCUGAUGUUGCUGCUGCUGGUGCUUGAGGCUACUUUGUUGUUAUUGCACAUAUACGGUUUUGCAGAAUAUUGAAUAGUUGGUGGUAGUGCUUGAGUGUUUUUGCAUGUUUGCUGCUGGUGCUAGUACUGCUGGUGCUAUAGCUAGUGCUUACUUUAGUGGUGUGGACUGACGGUGGAGGAGAAGCAACAUGGAGCCCGGAUGUACAGUUGGAGGUGACAGACUCGUCGAGUUCCAACAAAGGUGUGGCAGGGCAGUCCGGGUAUUGGAGCGGCGGCGAAGGCAAGAAAGAAAAACGAAAAGAGAGAAAAUAGGAGGACGAAGGCGCAGGGUCCGUUAGGGGUUAUGGUGGUGUUUUGGGUGGACCGAGGGUGUCGGAGUCCUACAUGUCUAUUGUUCAGACUCCCGCAAAGCUUCCAAGUUUAUCUUGGGUUUGCGGGAAAAAGUGCAUCUGCACCACUCAGCGUACCGAUACACGACCACAUUGGAUGGCUAAACACGUCUCGACCAUGCAGUCUGGAUAGUUGUGUGCGGUUUGAUGGUCUGCCUUGAAUAUGUCCUUAGUCAUAGAGAAGUGUCUAAUUUGAAUCACCUUAAUUAUAUGUUGUAAUAUAUUUAUUUAAGUUUUCACCGUUCGGUAUAUUCUCUUUUUUGUAUCAAUAAAAAUGCAUGUUUGCUAAACAAAUUCGUGAAAAUAGUAGUGAUCAGCUGGGUAGCUGAAUUAUUGUUUGUAGCCGACAUACGUGUGGGUUCAAACAUUACUGGGAGGCAGUGGCGAGUGGACUGGGUAGGAUUUAUUGAGCCUGCCCUCCAGCAAUGCAAAAAAUAAAUAAGUAGUUAAUAGUACAUGUUCCUAUUAGUAUUAUGGCAAAUUCUAGCCUUCUUUGAACAAAAGAAUUGAGACUCAGUGGCUUUUUCUUCACACCAUUGACUUCGAGCCUGCCUGAUUUUUCUCCAAGAUUCGCCACUGCUGGGAGGGUAAACUCAACUAGUACUUACAUGAACCAACAGUUAUAAGUACACUACAGCGAUAAAUUUAUGAACACGUGAACAGAUGAUUAAGCCAACGAUUUGCUAGUACUGUAAAAUCGCAUUAAGCCAUUGUGGACUCGCCGGCGGCGACUCUUGGCAUCGUUCUCCCUUCUGAGGGCGUUGUCGUGGAGUUUAGGUGUUAUAGGGCAUAUUGUGGCGUUGUUAUCAGCUCUUCUUGCGCUCCUUUCCGGUAGCGUAGUUGCGUGCGCCUUGUGUGACCCAGUAUCUUGGGAUCGGUGUUGUAUGAGUAUUAUCUCCUCACCUGUAUUGUUUGACCAUGUAUAUGGUUGGUUGUUGCUUUAUAUAACAGGGUGAAAGCCUAUUUCGAAAAGAAAAAAACUCAUGCAUGGCCUAGAUGGGAUGCUUGUCCCCCGGCUAAAUGAUGCUGGUGCCCGCGAACAGGGGGAGCUGCUGCCCAUCAUCUAGGGCCUGGUCUUGGCAACGACUUCUAAUGUGCGGGAUCUCCGUCAGGGGUGUGCCAAGGGUGCCGGAUUCCUUGACGUACGGCCACCUGACGUUGGGCCAUUGACACGUGGGUCCGGAUUCACACGUCUGUGUAUGGGCCGUACGUCAGAGGAGUUUUGUCCGUGCCAAGGACGAGGUGCUCUCGGCCGGGGCUUACUAGCUUUGCCACUUUGGUGGCCUGAUCGUUCCCUACGUUGACUUCGUCUGUAAAAACUAUGCCCCCAGCUGGGUUCGCUUCUUCCUCCUGGUUCAAGCCAGGAUCCACAUAAGGGAUGUGCUACUACCGAAGAACACAGUCACUACGAAAGCUGUCGGAUGCCUGCUUUGCUCUUCCCCUCUUCAGACGGCAGACCACCUCAUCUUUGGCCGCCCUUUUGCCCGCCGGUUUUGGGGCUUGGUUGGCCCGAACUCCGUAUCACCAACGUCAACCUACUUCACCGGCUGUCACCCCCGUGCUCGGUGCCGAUGAAAAUGGGUCCUACGUACCUUCCUUCUCCUCUGCUGUUGGCAUUUGUGGAAGCACCGAAACACGAUGGUCUUCCAGGGGUUACCACCGUCGAUCCCCUGGCUUCUCAAGUCAUGCAGGGAGGACGCCGUGCUCUGGAGAGUGCGCCUCCCUGAGACGCUCAAGCAUGUGGUUGAUGCUUGGCUGGCCUGCUUUGUGUGCUCUUGCCGUCUCAGGGAGCGGGGUAGAUGUGGGCACGGUUCUUUAUCAAAAUGUGAUUAACAAAAAUAUAGACAACAACUUAGAGUUUUUCAGUUUCCGCAAAAAAAAACAUAGUUUUCAAUAUUCUUCAUUAGUCACUUUUAUGGAAAUUGAUUAAAAAUAGCCGGCUGAUUACAGCGCGGCGUAAGACUCCUCAGACGCGCGACACGCUUCCCUAUGGGGACCCGCAUACCGCUUCUCGACCAGAUCCUUAUUCCCACCAAAGAGGCCUCAACCACAAAAAGCAACUGGUUGUUGACCCAGCUCUCCAGUGGCUCUACAAUGCAUCUCUUCCCCUGGUCGAUGCUCUUUGUCUACUUCCUGGCCCAUUUCUUUUUUCAUCGGUGAAAUCGGAAGCCCGCUACAAGCCGCCCAUGUGCUACCGUGGCCAGCCUGGGACGCGACGCCCAUUGCAAGCCGCCUGUGGACGCUGGUGCAGUGGGGUCACUAGCGCUGCAAUAGGGGUCACACGGCGGUGCUGCAACAGGGGAAAGGCGCGUGAUCGCGCUGCAGUUGAGCGCUUGUCGACAGCUCCCCGGUGCUGCGAUCUAGCGCUGGCCGGCGGCCCGGAGCUGCGACAGUGCUGCAGUGAUGCUUCACCGGCAGCUGCAAUGGAGCUUCACCGGCGGCCCGGAGCUGCGAUCCACCUGGCGGUGCUGCAAUGGAGCUUAACCGACGGCUUCAAUGAAGCUUCAACCCUGGCACGGAGCGACGAUGGAGUGCUUGGUGCUCCAGUGGAGAGCCCAUUGUGGCGGCGGGGGCAGCGAUGGAGCACUUCCGUGCUGGGGAUUGGCGCUACAGUGUAGCAUCACCGACGCCCAUCAGUGGAGCCUUGCUGCGCUAUCGACGCAUGGCUCCUGCUGCGAGCAUAUGACGCUGCUUCCCCACGAAACACGGUCGUUGCUUCGAUGCGGCUGUGAUGACAGGAUAGUGAUCCAUCUUUGUGUUGACCGAUUCAAUGACUUUGAGGGGAUGGAUCCAACGGCUCAUGACCCGACUGAUUUCCCCACAAAAUCAGUCGGUUGAUCCGUAGCAGUGGCCCACCUUUAUUCAAUUUUCAUGUGAUAUAACAUCUUCUAUCAAUGAAUAAAGCUAGAAUGUUGGCAUAUUUUUGUCAGCUAACACACCUUUCUUGGACAAUAACCAAAAGCAUCAGUUAAAUUUCGAAUGAAAAUGUUUAUAUUUGGAUACGUCAUCCGUUUCUAAAUAUAAGUCUUUUUAAAGAUUUUAAUAUGAGCUAUAUAUACGGAGCAAAAUGAUGAAUCUACACUCUAAACUACGAUUUAUAUACAUCUGCAUAUAGUUUAUAUUGAAAUCUAAAAAAAAGUUAUAUUUCGGAACGGAGGUAGUAAUAUAUAUACCGUUUGUCUAAUUUACAUCUAGAUGUUUUUUUAAAAAUGUCACAUCUAAGCUCCCACAAAUAUAUGAUGCAAGAACAAGAAACAAAAAAACUAGAAAGAAAAAAAAACUACAAAUAGAAUGGACAUUAGCUUUUAUGUGACAUAGUGUCCUACACAGACACAUAUACAACAGUAGUAUGAAAUUUGGAGUCUCAACUUGCACAGCCUCGCAUUCAAUUUGCAAAUGCCCGCAUCACCUCUCCACGGUGGCGCCCACGUCAGCCUCCUCCUCGCCGACCGCUGUUCCACCUCCGCGGCCUCACCCUCAUCCACGCAGCCAUGCUUGUCUCCGGCUGCAUGGCCUCCGACGCCUUCGCGGCCUCCCGCCUCCUCGACGCCUACGCCUCGCUCUCCCGUCCCGCCGCCGUGCUCCGCUUCCUCUCCUCGCUCCCGUACGCCACCAACUCAUUCAUGCUCAACACCUCCCCCGCGCCCUCGCCUCCUCCGCCGACUCCGCCUCCGCCACUCCUGCAGCUCCUACACUCCGGGCAGGCACACCUUCCCCUUCCUACUCAAGACCUCCGCUCGGCUCCCUCUUGAUGUGUCCAAGCAGAUACACGCGCUCGUCCUCAAGCACGGGCUCCAUCGUGACACCACUUUGCCAACGGCCUUGUCCACGUGUACUCGGUGGCUCGACUCAUGGGUGUCGCGUGGAAGGUGUUCGAUGAAUUGCCGGUUUGAAGCGUGGUGGUGUAUACCAUGAUGGUCUCUGGCUAUGCGCAUAACAGGCGGUACGAGGACGCCAUGGGAGCCUUUGAUGACAUGCUCAACGAGGGGUUCGAGCCCGGUGCCGUCAUGAUGGCAUCGGUGUUGUCGACCUCGGAGUCGGGCGGGCUGGUGAUGGGGCGGCGUGUGCAUGAUAUCAUGGAGAGGAGGGGGAUGGCGGUGCCUGUGGAGGUGAUCCUUGGCAUGACAUUUAGUACACAUGUAUGCAAAGAAUGGGACAAUCAAGGAGGCGGUAACAGUGUUCAAGGGGAUGCCAGAGCGGCAUACGGCUACGUGGAAUGCUCUGAUCCCAGCGUUGACACACCAUGGGCAUGGCAAGGAUGCGCUGGCGAUGUUCCAGCAGAUGCGCCGGGAGGGUGUGCUGCCGAAUGCAACCAAGGUUGUCAAAGAUAUACUACUCGAAAAAGGGCUAAAGAUGAAAUUGACACUAAUGACACACUGUACAUGUGGUGCGCCAUUACUAAAUACUAAUGACACAUCAUGUGUUGGUGCGUCAUUAGUGUGCAAAUACUAAUGGCGCACCACAUCCACGGUGCGUCAUUAGUAAAAAAAAAUUAACAUGCCACGGUGCGCCAUUAGUAACUUGGCCACCACUUUCACCGAAUGCACCUUCCGGACCGCCUUUUCAGUUAAAAAAAUGAAAAAAAUGAUGGAAAUGUUAAAAAAAUAAAAGAAAAUAAGUUUCCCAUGUGAUAUGUGGUCUAGUUGUUGUGAAAAUUUACAAAUAUGAAUUUCGACUUUAUUUGCGAAAUCUCUCGAGAAUUUGUAAAAUGGGCAUAACUUUUGCGUACGAACUCGGAUAAAAAAGUUUUUUAUACGAAAAAUCAUCUACUCGAAAAGUUACAUCCGAAUUUAACUGGGGAACCUCGUUAAACAUUUUCAAAAUCCUCAAAAACCUAACAGAAAAAAAGAUAUGAGGCUUUUAAGAUCUGAAGAGGCAAAAAAAUUCAAACUUACUAAUGGUGCACCUGCCCAUGGUGCGCCAUUACUAUCUUCCCGCCUUCUAAAUUCAAAAUAAGUCAAAAAAAAUAAAAAAAAAGUUACUAAUGGCGCACCUGCCCAUGGUGCGCCAUUAGUAUCUUCCCGCCUUCAAAAUUCAAAAUAAAUCAAAAAAAAAAUAGUAAUGGCGCACCUGCCCGCGGUGCGCCAUUACUAUGCCGUAUAUAUGGCUGGGCGUGGUCCUCUCCUCCUUACCUCUUCAUUCUUCUCCUCCACUCCACCUCUCCUCCACUACAUCUUCCCUUCUCUCCUCCAUCAUACUACUCUUCUCCUCUCCGGCGACCUCCUCCUCCUCCUCUCCGGUGACCUCCUCCUCUCCGGCGACCUCCUCCNNNNNNNNNNNNNNNNNNNNNNNNNNNNNNNNNNNNNNNNNNNNNNNNNNNNNNNNNNNNNNNNNNNNNNNNNNNNNNNNNNNNNNNNNNNNNNNNNNNNNNNNNNNNNNNNNNNNNNNNNNNNNNNNNNNNNNNNNNNNNNNNNNNNNNNNNNNNNNNNNNNNNNNNNNNNNNNNNNNNNNNNNNNNNNNNNNNNNNNNNNNNNNNNNNNNNNNNNNNNNNAUGCUCUGGUGAACUCCUCUCCGGCGACCUCCUCCUCCUCUCCGGCGAUGUAGGCGAGCGCCUCUCCGGUGACCUCCUCCUCCUCCUCUCCGGCGAACUCCUCUCCGGCAAAAGAACACGACAAAAUAACGUACAAGAUCCAAAAACAGGAACAAAAUUUGAAAUAAUAUCGUGCCAAAAAACAAGCAAAAAAUGGGCAAAAAAAAUCAUGAUCCAGAUCCAAAUUCAAAAUUCAAAAAUAGCAAUGGCGCACGGUGGGGGUUAGACGGUGCGCCACUACUAUUUUCCCGCCUUCAAAAUUCAAAAAUACUAAUGGCGCACCAGUGGCCUAUACUAAUGGCGCACCGUGGCCUAUACUAAUGGCGCACCAGUGGUGCGCCAUUAAUAUACCAGAUACUAAUGGCGCACCACUGGUGCGCCAUUAGUAAAAAAUACUAGUGGCGUGAUACUAAUGGCGCACCAGUGAUGCGUCAUUAGUAGGCAAAACUGGUGCGCCAUUAGUAGCCCUUUUCCUAGUAGUGAUACCUGGGUUGAGUGCCAUUGGUGGCUGCGGCAACGACUGGCCAUGGCAAUAACUGAAGAUGUGUGGGUUUCGUCGCAGCUCAGUGCUGAUCAGCAACUUGCUUGCUGUUCGUGAACAUGUUGGUUGCCAGUAUUUUAUCAACAUCAUGAACUCAACCAACUUGGCCAUCAGGGGGGUAGCAAUACUAAUUCUUUUUGGUGAGAUACAGAUGAGUUGUUUACAGUCGGGGCCAAAUUCAGCAUCAUCAUUUCCAACAGAUAUGGCCACUAGAAAAGUAGUUCGUAUUGAUGGCAUAUUUUCAAUCUGCGUCAUAUCGUCUAGCAGAAUUCCCCCCUGCAGCUGCGCUCGCGUUGUCUUUAGUAUCUCUUGAUAAUUACACCGGAGUUGUAACAUCGAUCAAUCAUGCAACCAUUUGCAUAUAAAGGCUGAGAUGUACCUUCAAGUCCAUGUAAGAAGUGUUCUUCUCUGGUCACUGCUUGUACAUUAUGAGGAAAGCAACACAGUAGAACAGACCUAACAUCUUACACGUCAGUAAACCUAUAACUAAGAUAUUGGCAUUGGGCUGUUCUCUGUAAGCUUGUUUUGAUUACAUAUAUGCAUAAUUCACCCCUAGGUUCAGAAAAAAAAAUCAUUGACAUGACUUCUACGUAUGGUUGAAAAUGUCUUUAAAAUAUUGCAGAGACUUUUGCCAAAACUGUUGCACAAACUUUUUGGCCAGCAACUAUUUUGAAAAUUUACAUGUAAAGUAUCCAUCCUAUUUUCUUCAUAUCUUUCCUGUUGUUUCUUCCUAAUAUCAACACCUCAGCAGAAGAUGUCGUGCAUCGUGCAAUCUGGCAACACCAUGAAGGCCACCAUCAGGGCGAAAGAUGCGAACACACACAGUAGGUCUUAACUCCAGACCUAUUUGUUAUUUAUUCAUAGAGCCCAUAAUUACUAUCUUAUUUUAUAAGUCUGUUUCAAGAGGAUGUGCAACAUCCUUUUUUUAUUUUAAAUGUUUAACUUCACUUCUCAUGUGGGUUUGGUGCUUACAUUAUGUUUAAUCAAGCCAGUUUCACCUGAAUUUAUCAUACACCAUAGAACUAAUUAUUAGAGUACAGUUCCUGAUGCUUACUUCAUGCAACUGAAAAAAACACUUCCUUAAGAUCCAUCCAUAUCGAUGCUCCUUUCUGCAAUGUUUGGUUUUGUUCUCUUCAACAUUUAUUUGUUUCAACACAAUGUCGAUCGCUGACACAACUUAGCAAUAAUUACGUGACAAUAAAAAUUGGGAUUAGAGCAAUGGUCAUUGAUGUCCUUUCCUGUCAUGUUGGUUCCAUGUGUUUGUUACAUUUAUUUAAUUAGAAUUCUACAUGCUCUUUUGCUAUGUCGUGGAAAUACAAGCUCUGUGGUGGCAGAAGUUAGUUGCUAUGGGAUGUGGUGAAGUUUCGGCUCCUCUGGAAGGUAUCAUGUUGUUUCCAGUGAGGUGCAUAUGUAGACAGUACUGAGUUUUGACAACUAAUGGCUUUUUAGAAUUAUUCAUAUGGUAGGAACUUUGAGCUUCCAGUUCUGAGAGGCAUUUAUUUUGAAAAUAUUAAAUAUGGUAAAAUGCAAGCUCUAAUGAUGAAGCUCGACACAGAGAAAGCUUUUGGCACUGUCCUGGGAGUUCCUGCUGAUGGUGCUCGAGGAGACGGGUAUUGGUAUUGGUUGGAGAAACUGGAUAUCUGCACUGUUCAACACUCACGUUUUCUUCAACCAAGAUACUGUUGAACGCAGAGCUUUCCUAUUCCAUCUCUCUUGCGAGAGGUCUGAGGCAGGGCGACCCCCAGGUGGCCGCUGCUGUUUGUCAUCGUCAUGGACUGCAUGGCUGGGAUUUUUGACAAGGCGGUGCAUGCAAGGUUGCUGGGCCCUAUUCCAAGUAUGUGAUUGCCUUUCAGAGUCUCACUGGAUGCCGACGAUGCAGUGCUUUUCAUCAACCCCUUGCCCCAGGACGCUUGUACUAUCAAGUCAUUGCUUUCAGAUUUUUUGGGCAGGCCACGUCUACAUGCAAACUUCCACAAAAGUGGAUCACCCCUAUAUGCUGCCAGGAAAUCGAUGUCCAACCUGUCCUGCAUGGUUUUGACUGCUCGGUAAAACCCUUCCCGUGCACUUAUUUAAGGAUGCCUCUCUCGAGAAGUGCAUGGAGGAACCCGGGUACAUAUGAACCCACUUUGGAAUAUACAUUUGCAAUGUCAAAAAAUUCUGAAAAAAGGUGCGUGCGGACAUCUCCAUAUUCUAUGUGUGUGCAGAAAGUUUUUGUAGCAUGUGCAAAAAAGACAAUUUUUUGUGCCGUGAAAUGCUAUUUAGAAGCAGUAAAAUUUGUUUUUUUACCAAGACAAAACAAAAAUACAUUUUUACACAAAACUUUGUGUCGUGGACAUACCUUUGCCAACAUGUAUGCAUAAUCUUUUUUAGAAUUUUUGAACAUUACAAAAUGCGUAAAAAGUACAUUUUUGAAAAGCGGGUGCAGAUGCCCCGUGUGCAGAUCGUCCACUCUCUGCCUCUCUCUGUCUGACCACAAGCUGAAGAAGGUGGACUAUCAAACAAUCAUUACGCCAUAAUGAAGAAUGUCAAUGGCUAGAUCCAUGCACACUUCUCCAUCGAUGGCCGCCUAAUCUUGGCGAAGCAUGUGCUCUCGGCAAUGUCAGUGUUCCAGAUGAUCUCGAUUGACAUGCCAGUAUGGCUGGCGAAAGCUAUUGACAAGGUAUGAGUAUCCAGAUGAGCGGUAAAUGCUUUGGGAGCUGGAAGGGCUUCUGAAGCCCCAAGAAUUUUUGCGGUCUUGGCAUAUCUAACAUGUUGGCCCAGAGCAUUGCCCUUCGUACAAGGUGGUUGUGGGAAGCUUGGACUGAGCCGGAUAAGCCAUGGUUAGGGAUGCACCUUCCUGUGGACCCCAAGGCCAGAGCCAUAUUCAACGCAACUGUCAUCUUCAGGUUGGGGGAAGGGUCAAGGAUCAGUUUCUGGCACGAACCACGGCAUCACGGGGUCGCCCUUGAACAUGCUUUCCUGAUCCUGUCUUCCAUCUGCACACGGAGAAGACUCACGGUCCCCGUGGCGCUUAGGGACAGUGCUUGGAUCAGACACCUGAAGCAGCAAUCCUGUCCAAGAGCACUUCGGGAAUUCUGUGAUCUCUGGAUCACCAUGCAUGAGGUUAACCUGACAGAGCUUCCAGCAGCCGCCGACCUUUCUUGUCAGUUGUGACAAUGGCGUGUAUUCCACUAACUCGGCUUAUAAAAUUCAGUUCGAGGGCUUCCAAAGAUUCAUUCUCAAUGCCCUCAUAUGGGAGUCUGUUGCCAUGCUCAGAUGCAAGGUCUUCUCUUGGCUGGUGAUUCCUGGGCGCCGAUUCACUGCCGACAACUUGGCAAAGCGGAGCUGGCCGCACAAACUCACAUGCACGCUCUGCUCCUGCCCUGUAGAAGGCAUUUAUAUUUACUUAAUUUAGUCUUCAAUUUGUUUCGCUUCAUUGCAAGAAAUUUCUGAUGCAAAAAUGGAUUUCAUCCUACAUUUUCCUCAGCAGCCGCCGACCUUUCUUGUCAGUUGUGACAAUCGAAGAGUGCAUUAGAGAAGCCCCCAGAACUGCUACUAUUGCAAUUAAUACAUUGUGAGUAGUUAGAUACAUAGCCCAAUAAAAAUGGAAGACCUACAUAUGGCCAUGUACGUACCUAUGAAGCCCUAGGCCAUAUUGGACGAGGGUACAGAGCAUGGAUGAUUCCUAUCUUCUACUCAUGCCGAUCGCCGCGCGUCGCGGCCGCCGUCUCGCCUGCCAGGAAGGAAACAACCGCCUGAAUUGAUCGAUCUCUGGUUCUUUGCAGUCUGAAACCUGAAGGUACGACAUAUACACGAUCUGAAUCCUAAAAGCAUCAAUCUCUGUGGCCCUUAAAAGAUGAUGGCUUCCGUGCUGGAUUUCAUAGGUACUGACUGGAUUGCUGGCGCUAUUGAAGCAAUGCACUGUGGCCCCGCCGCGGCAUCUAGGCAUCAGACCGUUGUUUGUUAAUUAUGUCUACGCAUCUUGACCUAAUCAAGGUACAACAAUAUACAAGCUCCACUCUUAUGAAUUAAGAUUGAUUACAGUAUUUAUAUUUUUACUGAUGACCUAUACAAUUUACUUACAUAGAAGGCAAAGAUCAUAUAUUUAUCAAAUGAUGUAAGACUAUUAACUACUUAUUCCUUUUUGUCGAUGAUUUUCACUGCAAUAACAAACAGAUCAUGAGCCUUAUCAUGUUAUAUUCGUUUUUAUUCUACUUUCUUUAAAAGAAAACGUGUACUCAACGGGCUGUGCCUUCUAUUAGAAUAAUCUAUCAUGUCCCCUUCGNNNNNNNNNNNNNNNNNNNNNNNNNNNNNNNNNNNNNNNNNNNNNNNNNNNNNNNNNNNNNNNNNNNNNNNNNNNNNNNNNNNNNNNNNNNNNNNNNNNNNNNNNNNNNNNNNNNNNNNNNNNNNNNNNNNNNNNNNNNNNNNNNNNNNNNNNNNNNNNNNNNNNNNNNNNNNNNNNNNNNNNNNNNNNNNNNNNNNNNNNNNNNNNNNNNNNNNNNNNNNNNNNNNNNNNNNNNNNNNNNNNNNNNNNNNNNNNNNNNNNNNNNNNNNNNNNNNNNNNNNNNNNNNNNNNNNNNNNNNNNNNNNNNNNNNNNNNNNNNNNNNNNNNNNNNNNNNNNNNNNNNNNNNNNNNNNNNNNNNNNNNNNNNNNNNNNNNNNNNNNCCCAUGUCCAAAUCCUGGCUCCGCCCCUGCACAUCUUUGGAAUGAUGUAUAUUUUCUAGCACAUCUUUGAAUAUAAUUAAUUCCUUCCUGCCUAUAAUAGAGUGGUGUUCAAAUCUAGCCAUCAUUCUCUUGGUCCACGAAGAACAGAGUGCAUGUCCUAGUGCAAGACAGGAUGUAGGUGUAUGUUUUGAUGUACGAAAACAAUGAAGAAAAGAAUGAAGAUGUGGAUGUUUUUUUGGGUCUUUCCAGAUUAUUGGUUGAUGUAAAUAUUCAGUUUGUAUUCUGCUGGAUUGUCUCCAAAUGUUGCAAUUUUUUAUGGGCAAUAGGCAAAGAACAUCUUAUGUCUAGCAUGUACAUUCUCGCCGAGUACAUUAACCGUUGUACUAGUAUGUUGUUUGUUUAGACGUAUGCAUUUUGUUGGCGUGAUCCAACAUUCCUAGAAAAAGGGUAAGUACAGUUUCUUGUCAUGCUAGAUGCUUGUUAUUUGGUUUUAAUCACGAACUUUAGUUUUCUUGUUGUGCUAGAUGCUGAAUUUUUUAGUAUGCUAAUGCUAACUUUGCAUAUCUUUGAAGAACUACAGUUUCUAGUAUGCUAAUGCUAACUUUGCAUAUCUUUUUUCACCUGCUUGCAAGGCCGCCUCACUCUUGUCAAGCAUACCACUGUCUUGGGGGAAGACUGCAACCCAGAUAAAUGCACAUAUAUCAGAUUAGAUCCAAGAGCGGUAAAUGAGCUUUUCAAUAUGGUCAUUGGUUGACGAAGAGUUAGCUUUUCAAUAUGGUCAUUGGUUGACAAAGAGCGUUCAUUGGCUCAACGUGUUGGCUGCCACCGCCUCGGUGAGAAUUUCGAGUAGGCGGUUGAUGAUGUUAAAUCUCUCCUAGCCUGCUGCACAACUUCCUUCCAGAUGCCCCUCACAUCACUCCAGAUCCAGAUCAAGGCCUUGAUCAACCUGGCUGUCAAUGCCACUGUUGGCAAGAAGGGCACGGUAAGGGGCUAAAGCCAUGUUGCCUCACUCAUCCUUGCGGGGGACUUUAAUCUGAUAGCCCAAAUGGCAGAUAAAAGCAACUCCAAAGUUCACCGGGUAGUGAUGAAUGCUUUCAGAGUUGAAGGAUAUGUACCUACAUGAAGAAGUCAAGGAGGUAUAUGUGGAGCAACAGACCACCCUAGUGAAGCUUCACCCAGUCUUUAUAUGAGCAAUGGAGUAGCUCCUUCCCUAAUUCGCUUCUGCAAGAUGUCUCCUUCCUCGGCGUCAGAUCACUGCCCUCUAUUUCUAUCAGCUGACAGUGCUUUCAAGCCAUGCCGGUGCUUUCGGUUUGAGAAAUGCUGGCUUAAAUGGGGUAGCUUCAUGGAGGUUGUUUUCAAGGUCCCUAUGUCAGAUAUAACGCAAAGCUGGCGUCAACUGCUUAUGCCUUGAAGAGAUGGAGCGCCCUUCGGUCUUCUAACAUCAAACUUCGGUCACCCAUCGUCAACGAAUUAAUCUUCCAAUUAGAUAUUGUGAUGGACAGCAGGGCCCUAUCUCUGGAGGAAUUCACUUUUUACAAACAUCUGAAAAUUUAGAGCCUUGGUCUAGUUGCGGUUGAAAAAUGCACGUGGCGCCAACGUUCGCGUUUAUGUGGCUCAAAGAAGGUGAUUGCAACUCAAAGUUCUUUCACUUGAAAGCUUCUUCACGUCGGAAGAAGAACUUCAUAUCAGCUUGCAAAUCGAUGAUAGAACUCUGACUUGACAAGAGGACAGGAUGCAGGCAUUUUGCCAGCACUUCAGUGGCAUUAUGGGAACGUGCCAAAACAGACAGCACACUCUGAACCACAACUCUCUUCAAUUCCCUGGCAUCACAAUUCAGCACAUCGAUGCGGAGAUCACCUAGGAGGAAGUAAAAGUGGCGUUUGUUCGAGUUACACCCUGAGAAAGCAUUCAGCCCCAAUGGAUUUUCUGGCCUUUUCUUCAGGACAUGCUGGAAUUAUCAAUGGCGGUCUGAUGCUUGCGGUCAGAAAAGUUGCUUCAUGUGUCAGCCUGGUGCAGCAAGAUGGUAGAUGCAGCAAGAUGCAAUGUGGCGUCACUUCAAGAAGAGAGAAAAGAGCUUGUGGUUUCUGUCGGACAAGCCCUUCAGCGGUGUUACCCUCUGCUCCACGGCGAGUUCCAGGCCAGGUUUAAUUAUGUUGAAAUGCUUGCACAGUAUUCUCACAUUAUAUGGCAAACUAGGGUCAUCAGGUAGUUUCCUAAUUGCACAUCUACAAAUGUUAAGAGUGUACAAGUGAUUCUAUUUUUUCGUUCCACACAUGCCCAGCUUGGUGUUAUGGGAAGAGCAAGAGCGGUCUUCAAUUGGCACAGUGGAUCUACUAUGUAUGCUUUUCGGUUCGCUCUAGAUAAGCCAGCUAUUAGUCCACGCUAGCGUAUUUCCAUAUGAUCUUACAUUCGUACUCUUAUCAUCAUAACAUUCACAAACAAAUAUGAUAUAGGUAUCUUGUGUCAUUCUAUCAAAUAAUCUCUCCAUUCAGAAAUAUAAGAUGUUUCGGAUAUUUCAAUAUUUACUACAUACAGACUGAAAUGAGUGGACAAACACAUUAAGAUGUGUCAAUAUACAUCUGAUUCACAAAAAUAUUAGAACAUAUUAUAUUUGUGAACGGAAGGAGUACUAUAUCUAUACCAGUAUGCUAAGAUUUUUUUUGUCAAGUCAUUGGUGUUAGUACUUUGGUUCGAUCUUAUUUCUCCACCCCGCCUGAAUCUCAAAAGGGAGUUUUGGUAUUGAUGGAAAUUUGGCUCCUUUCUCGACCCAUAUUUGCCAAUCCCUCCCCAUCGCUACAUACACAUGCCACCUUGCUCGAUUGUCCUCACUUCCUAGACAUCACCCGUCUUGUGGUCGUGUUGCAGCCAUGGCCGAAGCAGAUACAAAAAUUAGUGAGAUCAAUGCAUGCAAGCACUCAAUUAGUGAGCUCAAUGUGACCGGUCCAGGAAGACUUGGGACUUCCUUCUAUAGUGUGACUACCAGUUCAAGUAGAUACAGAAAUUAAUACCAAACACAAACCCAUCCCCGCCCUUAAUCACAACAUGCGGCAAGCAUGCCGACAGUGUCAUGGCAUCUGCUGUGGUGGAGGCCACAACUCGUUGUCCCUCCCCUCUCCCCCUCCCUUGCCCCAUGCCAGCGACCACAGAUCUAGACUAUGUCGUGUCCUUCUCGUACUUAUCGCCUGCCUCCUUCCAGACGGACUCUGACGACGAGGCCUAGGGUGGUGGACGAGAAGCUUAAGCUAGCGUAAACUUAUUUUUUAUAGUUAAACUAGUGUUGUUUUUAGUAUUAGUAUUUUUUACAAUACCUUUUUAUAAGCUAUGUUAGAUUAAUUAGCUCAAAUACUGAUAGAAUGUGAUGUUUGAGCUAUGUUAGAUUAGCUCAAAUUAUGGUAGAUUUUUUUUAUUUGAGCUAUGUUAGAUUAGCUCAAAUUAUAGUAGGCCAAAUUAAGAAGCUGGGGGACUUAUGUUAAUGCAAUAGUGAGGUUAUUAUGAAUUUUAUGAUAAUAACAAUCAGAUGGAAUUUCCAUAUGGGUGCACAACUUGGAAAAUUGCAAUUCAAAAUGUAAUUUUAGGGAUUGAUUAGGAACCAACCUCCCAAUACCCAAUCAAGUCUUUGGUUGACCUUUUGGGUUUAGGUUUGGGGUUUGAUUAGAGAUGCUCUUAGUUGUCACCCAUGUAGAUUAUGAAGACAAAAACAUCAAAAAUAGAAUUUUAAUUAACUAUAACAUACAUGUACUGGACGUUGAACACCUAUUUGAAUAAAUAUAGUGGCCACUAAGCCAUCACACCUUUUGUAUGCGCAUCUCUAGUCACACCUAAACCUCUCCUUGCAGCCUAUGUGUACUAUGUUUACAACAUAUCCUUGCCCAAUUAGUGAAAUCCAAUGUCCUGACAAACACAUGUGCCAUCAUCCAUGAGCACGAAUCAACCACGCGAAACGGAACUGGUAAGUCAUCUUGCCAUCCUCCACAAGCAAGAAGCAACCAUGCAAAACGGAACUGCUAAUUCAUCGCUACCUUGAGAUGCCACUUGCGCUGCUCCUCCACCAAGCAUCUCCAGGAAGUGUGGCAUCGGUGUAGCAUAUCAAUACAUAAUUUAUCCCCUUUGUUGUUCAAUACAAUUGCCACAUAAGUUGGCUAUCAUGAUUGUGAUCCAUCUGAUAUAUUCUUUGUGGUGAUGUUAAUCAUGUGAUGAAUUAUUCUUUUAUGUUCAGAUUGUGUUAAUUGUCUCUAAGAAUAAAGGGAUGAUAAAUUAAGGAUAAAGGGAUAAUAAACUUUUUUGUCUCCAUGACCAGCCGGAGGCUCAUGGGCUAUGUCUCCCUUUUGUUACUUAAUAGUGAAGGAUCUUGGUCAAAGAGUGAAGUAUUAGCCAUAGAUGCAAAGAGGGUCUCGGUCUAUGGAUAUAUGGACGUAUUGCCUAUAUAACAUCAACACAUCACAUAAAAUUUAGCAUGAACACGAAUAUUUUGUUUUUCACAUAUCAAUGUUAUCUUGCCACACUUAUUAUCUAUUGGAGAGCUACUAUUCCUGAACCAAUGAACCCCAGUCCAAUUCACACUUUAAGGAACUUUUAUUUGUACUUUUAUUUCUAGUUAUUAUUUACUGGCCAUCCACCCAUGCACCUACAUGGGCUAGCCAUUUAAAUUACGUACAUAAUAAUUAAAAUGUCAAAAAAAAUAUUCAAUGCAUCAAUGAUAGAAGAGCCAUUUAGCACAAAAAGAACUAUCAUACUUCUCUGAAAGGCUCAGUUCCAGAUCCUUUCACUGGCACUCUUCGAAAGUACAAACGCCUAUUAUGUAUUAUCUUAAGGAGCCUAUAGUCCAAUGAAAUGUCUGAAGUAAAAAAUAAGUAAAUAUAUUUGACCAAAGGAAUGUGUAAAUCAAUAGUAACAUUCCCUACAGCGCUUCAGAGAAAGAUUAACAUUUUUGUAAAAACCUCAAUAGCCUGAAAGAUACUUAGACAAUAAGCAAUCACAAAACUGGCCACAUUAAUUCUAUACCAUGGACGAUGCGAACAACAAUAGUGAUAAAUAUACAUGGUUCAGUAAUCAAAAUCAUAUUGAUUCCAGUCAUGAAUUGAGCUAACCUUGGCAAAGAGGGGAUGCAUACAGCUCAUUAGGCAAGGAAAACUAUAAAAACCGCAUAGUGCUGUAAAAAUUGUAGGAUGGAUAAUAUUGUGUUGUAUCUAUUGUAUUUAUCUGACCCUCAUAUGGGGUAUAUAUAAAGUACACGAGGGGGUAGAGUCUUGAAGUACAAGACAAGUUACAUGUGGUUUAAACCAAUCCUAUCUCUAACUCCUAAUCUCUAACUUAAACAUAAUUAUACUUCUAACAUUCCCCCUCAGUCGUAGCGGGAGUGAAGCGGACGAUGACGACUGAAUUUGAACUCUUGUGCUUUCGUCGUCUUCUCCGCCGCGCCAUCAUCAACUGCGUCUCUGAUGGGUCGGCACCUAGGGCGGUGACUGCGUCCCCUUCUGGUGCCUUCCUGCCUUCUCCUCUAUUCCCUCCCGCAGUCACACCGGGAGUGUCGUGGACGCAAGUGACGAGGCGGACGCUGUUGACUGGAGUUGUUGCCGAUGAGUUGUUGUAGACGUAGCCUUUAAUGUCGAGGUAGCCGAUCAUGGUGAUGUAGCCGUGGUCGAGGUAGUCGUGGUCGAUGGUGUGGUCGUCGUGGAUGAUGAAGCCGCACAAAGCCGGAGGCGCAAAAAAAAUGCGCUAUGACGGAGCUGCAGACGUGGACGAUGCACCUUGCUGAUGUCAGAGGGUGCCGUCGGCGAUGAGUCCACCGAUUUUGCCAAGACCGGAGGAAGCCCAUCGAGCACACAUCGGUUUUGACAGAACCGUGUGGCCGUGAAGGGGUCGUCACUAUAGUGACGCCGUGUCGAUGCAGUCGUGCCAUCGUGGAUGACGCGGUCAAUGCCGUCGUCGUGACGCGGUCAUUGCCAUCGUCGUGGUCGCGUCUUGCAGAAAAGUCUGUCAGGGGACGCUAGGUGUCCAUCUUGUGGACAAGGCGGCGACGGUGUGUUGGUGAAGACCACGUUGGUGAAGACCAUGGCGAUGAAGUGUCGGCUAUGGCGUCGCAGCGGCGUGUCGACGAAGUGUCGAUGCCGAAGAAGUAUGUUGGCUCGUAGCUUGGCGUAGUCGUACAGCUUGAUGUCAUUCGGCUUGAUGCAGAGGCGUCGGUGUAGCCGUGCAGUACAGAUCGGCGAUGGCGGUCGAUGCAGCGAUGCAGAGGAUGAUGUAGCUCGGCUCGGUGAAAGAGUGGAUCGUCCUCGGUGCGGGUGCAGGUCGGCGGCUCGGUGUAGAUGAGGCAGGUCGUGCGCGUCGUUGCUCAUGUCCCGCGAGGGCUGGAGUCGAGCAGACCUGUUAUGUAUCGCUGAAGCUCUAGGAUGUGGCUCUGGAGAUCAUGGUCACAUAUGGACAUGUGGAACGUGGUUACGUGACCCACGAUCUGGUUGAAGCUAGUGGUGGAGUCCACGCCCGUUGCGUGGCCUGCGCUUGCUGGAGUUGACGAAGUCGAUGCCCACCAGAUUGAACGGGAAUUGGUUGCUUGGUCUUCUACGCCCACGAUUGAAGUCGUCCGCCCACAUCGGAGUUCCGCGGCCGCGAAAGAGAUCCGUGCGGGAGCUAUGCCCUCCCGUGAUCGGACGUCCGUGUGCCCUUCGCUGCUGCUCGCCGGCGUCACAUCUCCGCCUGAUGGAAGGGCAUCAGGACGCUGAUUGGUGUCGAGGGCAUCUGGACGCUGUUUGGUGGCGCCGCUCCACCGGCCUGCCUGGACUGCGCCUGCCGAGCGUUUUGCAUCGACCGGCUGCUCCAGCGCCCGGCCACGAAAGCGCCUGCUCCUGGACCACCAGCGCCCGGCUUGAACCUGUGGAUCACGGUCGGGCCGGUGUUGCGUCUGCUGGCUCGUUCAGAGGCGCCGGUCGUGGACGCACCGGCGGAGAUGCGCAGCGAAGACCCGCCAGGCGGAUGCUGCGUGUUGACGAAGCAGAUCAGACCUGUACGCCGGCAGUGCAGCACCACGCACUGGAUUUGGAGGAGAUUUUUGGAACCGAUCUCUCCACCAGUUUGCUGUGAUCUUUCAGGAGAUAAUAGGGCUUCAGAUUUAUUUGUGUCUAAAGAACUAACCUAACAGAAUUUGGAAAAUUGAGAAAUUGAUCUAAUCUAACUAAGGAACCGAUCUCAUCAUCUUUGAUCGAUCGGAUGCCGCGCCCCCGAGGAGAAGAGAUUAAUCUCCUCGGGGGCGGCGCGCUGCGGAAGUGGCGAGAAGUCCUAGGAUCGGCGUCGCGAGACUAACCGCUCUAAUACCAUGUAAAAAUUGUAGGAUGGAUAAUAUUGUGUUGUAUCUAUUGUAUUUAUCUGACCCUCAUAUGGGGUAUAUAUAAAGUACACGAGGGGGUAGAGUCUUGGAGUACAAGACAAGUUACAUGUGGUUUAAACCAAUCCUAUCUCUAACUCCUAAUCUCUAACUUAAACAUAAUUAUACUUCUAACAAGUGCAUACAGGGACCGACCAUGAGGAUAAAGUUGGAGAUAAUUUUUGCUGCAUCCAUGAGCUAGUACUAAAAUCCUUCUAUCAGUAACAAAACAUUAAUUCUGAUCUUCAUAACCAAUGGUUAACUGUUCAUAACAUGAUUUUUUUGAAACUUUUGAUGAAAUACCUCACAUCCUAUCAUCAUAACUUUCUCAUAUAGAUGUUGUUUACGUGUCGAUCAUCUUUGAUAUUUGUUCAAAGUGAAUAAUGUAAUACUACCUCUGUCUUGGUUUAUUGAUCCCCAUUAUAUUCGGUGUCAAACAUCCGACAUCGAUCAAGAGGAGGAGCGAUAGAAUGAGUGAAGUGUCUCUCCCUUCUUUUCUUCAUGCGGUGACUAGGGCCAGCGUCCGAGACGACGCCAAUCGCAGAUCAGAUCAGCAGACAGGCCAGCGGCACGUCCAGGAACGUUGGAACAGCAGCCUGCACAGGAAGACAGGGAAAGUUGCCCCGUCUCCGGUAACGGUGAUUGCAUGAGCCCUUGAUCUUGAAUUAUAUAUUGAUUCUUGAGUGUGAGUUGUUCCAACUUUGUUCCCUAAGAGCAACUCCAAUGCGGCGACCCAUUUCGUCUGCGGUCGUCCGUUUGGGUCGGUACAAACAAAAAAGCCGGCCCAACGCGCCGAUCCGAACAGACGCGCGUCCGCUUUCGUCCGCCUGUCAACCCAUUUCCGGCCCAUUUUUUAGCCUGAUUUGCAUCGGGGCGGACACAAAACGGACGCACGGGCGCUCGCCCUCUUUUCUCACCGGGCCCGCUGGUCAGUGGCACAUUGGAUUCACACACUCGCCCGCCUGCUACGCCGCCGGCCAUUUUUUCAGAUAAAAAUGGAUACAUAGAUAAUUCUAGCGUACACAGAUAAAAAGAAAAGACCACUACACGUCGAUUUCUGACUCCGGCGUAUGAAUGUAGGCGUCAGCAUACACCUCGUCUUCAAACUCCCAACCCGCCGUUUCUCGUAGCUUCAGUUUCAAUUGAGCUGCCUGCUUCCGCGAACACUUGUCCUCCCGAUAGGCGGCUCGCUCCCUCCUCCUCGCGUCCCUCUCCAACCUCCUUUGCUUGUAGAACUGGCGCUCGUCGAUGAUGUCCUGCGGAAAGCCUCCGCGCCACACCACCAAGGCUUCCACGUCCUUCUCCGCGAUGGCGAGGCGGCGCUGCCGCCUCCGGUGGACAGAACGAUCCUCGUCGGUGAAAAGUCGCGGGAGAGGCGCCAGAUCCUGCGCCCGCUGGCUCGACACGUUGGGAAAAUUCAUAUCCCGACGAGGCCUCAGGAGGCGCCACGCCGCCGCGUCGUGCGCGCGGGGCCGCCUCCUCUGUGCUGUAGAAGGUGCCGAGGAUGAGACGUUUCUCGUGAAACCAGAUCUCGGAGGAGAAAGCGCCGGAGCGGCGCUCGCGGACUCCGCGAAAAUCCGAAGCGCCCAGGCGGCGGAUCGACAUGGUGGCGCAGAGGCGGCGAGAGUGGGCGGCGAGCAGAGGCGGCGAGAGUGGGCGGCGGAUAGAGUGUGGAGGGACCGCCUUCUUUAUAACGAGCGCCGGCCGCGGCGCGCGCGCAAACCUUUCCCGCGCGCUGGAGCGCCAAAACUAGCGCGCGCUAGGCCGCUUUCCCCUGCGCGCUGGUGCGCCAAAACCAGGGCGCCGGCAUGAUCUAAAACGCGCGCGGUCAUGAAAUGGGUCGACCCGUUGGGCGCACUGCCGACCCAAAACUAAAAGAGGGCGGACGGCGGGCGGGCGGCCGACCUAAACGGACAAAAAGCGGACAAAAACACCGUCCGUUUGGGUGAGCAACUCCAACACGCGGACCCAUUUCGUUUGCGCGCGUCCGUUUGGGUCGGCGCAGACAAAAAACCCGGUCCAACGCGCCGAUCCAAACGGACGCGCGUCCGCUUUUCGUCCACCUGUCGACCCAUUCCCGGCCUAUUCUUUAGCCUCAUUUGCAUCGGCGCGGACAUGAGAUGGACGCGCGCUUCGCCCGCCUACUUCUCCCCUGGCCCGCCAGUCGGUGGCACAUUGGCCAUCCUCUCCCACAGCAAACCCUCGCCCGCCUCCUUCAUCGUCGACGUCGCCGCCCAUUUUUCCGGUACCUCCGCCGCAACAUCCACCCGGCGACGCCGCCACCUCCCACGUCACCGCCACCGCCGUCUUGCCGCCAGGGAUCCGACAGCUUCCACCCCCACUCCCCCGACACAACCGCGACCAAGAAGCCGCCUCGCCGCACCGGUCAGCUCCUUCGUCCUGACACCGGCACGCCCGGCGGACGCCGCCAAGGCAAGUUGUUGGUCCGAGGGCAGCGCGACUCCCUUCGUCGGCCGGCUCCUUCAUUGACGCCCGCAAGCUGUUCGACAGUUUGCCAAGAUACAAAAUGAACUCCGCCGACGAAUUCCUUUUCCACAAUUUCCUUUGCAACUCCGACAAUUCCUCGUCCGAUGAUGAGGAGGAGAUCUUGGCUGCCAUGUUGGUCCAUCACCACCUCAAUAGCCAGCGACCGUUGUUCCGUGGCUCCAUUCUGGUGCACCUUCUGGCGUUGAAUCACAACCGAGAGAGCGGGCAUUUCCUUCUUUGAAAGGACUAAUUUGACAUAACGAACAUGCUGUUCAAACAUCAGAAAUUCUGCCGCCUUUUCCGUAUGAGUAGACAUCUUUUCAACCGUAUUAGAGAGGGGGUGGUCAGCUACGGUGACUAUUUCGAGUGCAAAGAGGAUGCCCUUGUAAUGAUUGGCUUCUCCUCUUACCAAAAAUGCACUGCAACCAUCCGAAUGCUUGCAUACGGAGUGCCCGGUGAUCUUGUUGACGAGUACGUCUGUAUGACCUAGUCUGCAUCCCUAGACUCAUUGUACAAGUUCUCCAGAGUUGUUAUUGCUGUGUUUGGCCCUGAGUACUUGAGAGAGCCGACUCCUGAAGAUACAGCCCCUUGUUGGCGAUGAAUGCCAGUAGGGGCUUCCCGGGGAUGCUUGGCAUGAUAGACAUCAUGCACUGUGAGUGGAAGAACUUCCCUUAUGCUUGGCAAGGACAGUAUAAGGGCCAUGUCAGGGCUUGCACUAUCAUACUUGAGGCCGUGGCAUCUCAAGAUCUCUGGAUCUGGCACUCUUUCUUUGGCAUGGCCGGAUCACACAAUGAUAUCAACGUGCUUCAGCGCUCGCCGGUGUUUGCUAGGCUUGCUGAAGGCAACAACCCAUCGGUUAAUUUUACCAUCAACGGCCACAACUACGACAAAGGAUACUACUCAGGUGACGGUAUAUAUCCUCAAUGGACCACUAUUGUGAAGACAAUCCCCAACCCUGUCGCAGAGAAGAGGAAAAAAUUUGGCCAAGAGGAAGAGAGUGCAAGGAAGGACAUCGAGCGUGCCUUUGGUGCUUUACAAUCUCGAUAGGGCAUCGUUCGGUAUCCUGCUAAGACUUGGAGCACGAAGAAACUAUGGGAGGUGAUGACUGCUUGUGUGAUCAUGCACAAUAUGAUCGUAGAAGAUGAGUGCCCAGAACGUCUCUACGAUCAAGGGUUUCAGUUUUAGGGUGAAAAUGUUGUGCCUGAGCAUGGAGACGCGGCAACGUUUGAACAGUUCACCCAAUUUCAUCAUGACAUGGGUGAUUGAGAAACUCACAUGCAAUUGCAAAAUGAUUUGGUUGAGCAUAUGUGGGCUCAUGUUGGCAACCAAUAGAUGUAUCUUUUUUAUUCGGCUUGCAAAACUAUGUAAGACUUUUUUACUUUUAUUCGGCUUGUAAACCUAUGCUAUUUAUUUGGUUGAAACUAUGCUAUUUACUAUAUGUUUGCUUGUGAAAUAAUGCAAAUUUGUUGAAAAGGGCGGCCAUCCGGCCACGUCGUAUAUGGGUAGGCGCUUUGGGCGCACUGCCGACCCAAAUCUCAAACUGGGUGGACGCCGAGCGGGCGGCCGACCCAAACGGAAAAAAGUGGACAAAAGCGUCGUCUGUUUGGGUCGGCGCGUUGGAGUUGCUCUAAUGCCCAUAUUGUCUUUCUAAAAUCUUGUACUGUAGCUAAUUUUAUUUUAUUUUAUCCAUUAGGCGUGUAGUAUUGCAAGAUCCGAGACAUGUCUUGGUUAAGAAAACAAGUGUUUGAUUGAUGAAACAAAAACUUGAGGUUUUGACUCAGUCUCAGUCUCAUAUACAAGUUUUCAGGUUGCCCUUAAAAAGGAUGGAGAAUCUGACAUUGAUGCCAACGAACUGUAUGUGGAAUUGAUGUUUCUUCAAAAUUCCGUUCCAAACGAAAAUAUUGGGCCCGUUGAAUUUGUAAAGUUCUUAAAGCAGCAUGAUUAUUUUCCGAUGCAAGUAUUGCAUAUAGAGUUCCGUUGACCAUCCCUAUAACUGUUGCAUCAACAGAACAAAGCUUUUCAAAAUCGAAGCUAUUGAGGUCUUAUAUGUGCACUACCAUGACACAACAAAGACUUACUGAUUUGGCCAAAAUAACACUUGAGAGUGAAGUACCGGAGAAGAUUGAUUAUGAGGAUAUUAUUGAAAAUUUUAUAAAGAACCAUAAAAGAAUGAUGUUAUUUAAGUGAAGACUAUACAACCAAGAAUGGGUAUGAUUCUAGAUAUUUCACAUUGCCAUGUAAGAUAUGAUUAUCUUUAUAUUAUUAUAUAUUAUAUGUAUGUGGUUUAUCUAGUGAGGUAGGGCCCAUUUUAGGAUUUGACGCAGGGCCUCGGAUUUCAUCGGCCCAGCCCUAGAUGUGAGGCUAUGACCAACACCUGAUCUCAUGUGCACUAUGGCCGGAGAUGCCUUCUCACCAUCCUCACGCGUGGCACGUCAAUAGGAUACCACACCACACUUAGCGACAACGAUCUUAUUCUAGAGAAGGUUUGUCUUGAUUUCUCUUUUCUUUUCAAGGUCGAAUUUUAUUUUUCUUACCAUCCUCACCGACAUCAAUUUCUUCAACAGGUCUCCGAUCAAAUCGACUUUGUGCGGAUUCUCUUGGCAAUGGCUUCUAAGAAUAAGAGGUGGUCAUAGUAAUGUCUCCUAUUGUAAUGUCAUGGAAAAUCCGUACUUCUGUAUCCCUUUGUUGUGUAUACCGUAGUUAGGGCAGUAUAUUCAUGUGUAAACAUGGGCCUGGGGACCAUACUUGGGUGAUCGCAUUAGCAAGACAUGUCACCUCACAUAUCCAAAGAUGAACAUGUACUGAACAUGGAAAGACUACCGACUUUGAGAGAUCAUGAGAGACGCAUCUGAGAAGGACUCCAGCCUCUCUACUCCUAUAUAAGGAGACCAUGACCAAGGAGGGACAAGUUCUGUAGAAGCCACCACUGAAGGAAUAGAAACCUUAGCGUUUUAAUUAGCACAUCUAGCGUAGUUCAUCCACCCUAGAGCAAUGUUGUCUAGAUAUCCGCGUUAUCAAUGAGAGCAGGAGUGUCGCUAUUGCUCAUGCGAAGGGUCCGAACCUAUGUAAACCUUGUGCCACGUGUUCGUUUUAUGAUCUAAGUGGACAUCCCACUACCGAACAAAUCGUGUGGGACUAUCGUAUUACUGAGAAUACACGAAAAAUA